UACUUUUGAUGUUCUCAAACUUUUUCAACUUUCACGCAAUACAUGAGCGUGAGCCAUGGACAUAGCACUAUAUGUGGAAUAGAAUGGUGGUUGUGGAGAAGACAAAAAGGAGAAGAUAGUCUCACAUCAACUAGGCGUAUGAACGGGCUAUGGAGAUGCCCAUUAAUAGAUAUCAAUGUGAGUGAGUAGGGAUUGCUAUGCAACGGAUGCACUAGAGCUAUAAGUGUAUGAAAGCUCAACAAAAGAAACUAAGUGGGUGUGCAUCCAACUUGCUUGCUCACGAAGACCUAGGGCAUUUUGAGGAAGCCCAUCAUUGGAAUAUACAAGCCAACUUCUAUAAUAAAAAAUUCCCACUAGUAUAUGAAAGUGACAACAUAGGAGACUCUCUAUCAUGAAGAUCGUGGUGCUACUUUGAAGCACAAGUUUGGAAAAAGGAUAAUAACAUUGUCCCUUCUCUCUUUUCUCUCAUUUUUCCUCUUUUUUUUAAUUUUGGUGGGCUUCUUUGGCCUCUUUUUUUAUUUUGGCUUCUUUUGCCUCUUUGAUUUUUCAUAAAGCCCGAAGUCUCAUCCCGACUUGUGGGGGAAUCAUAGUCUCCAUUACCCUUUCCUCACUUGGGACAAUGCUCUAAUAAUGAAGAUCAUCACACUUUUAUUUACUUACAACUCAAGAAUUACAACUCAAUACUUAGAACAAAAUAUGACUCUGUGUGGAUGCCUCCGGCGGUGUACCGGGAUAUGCAAUGAAUCAAGAGUGACAUGUAUGAAAGAAUUAUAAAGGUGGCCUUGCCACAAAUACGAUGUCAACUACAUGAUAAACACUGGAAAGUUGCAUGGCAAUAUAUCUCGGAAUGGCUAUGGAAAUGCCAUAAUAGGUAGGUAUGGUGGAUGUUUUGAGGAAGGUAUAUUCUGGGUGUAUGGUACUGGCGAAAGUUGCCCGACACAAGAGAGGCUAGCAAUGGUGGAAGGGUGAGAGUGCGUAUAAUCCAUGAACUCAACAUUAGUCAUAAAGAACUCAUAUACUUAUUGCAAAAAUCUACAAGUUAUCAAAACAAAGUACUAUGCGCAUGCCCCUAGGGGGAUAGAUUGGUAGGAAAAGACCAUCGCUCGUCCCCGACCGCCACUCAUAAGGAAGGCAAUCAAAAAAUAACUCAUGCUCCGACUUCAUCAGAUAACGGUUCACCAUACAUGCAUGCUAUGGGAAUCACAGACUUCAACACAAGUAUUCCUAAAAUUCACAACUACUCCACUAGCAUGACUCUAAUAUUACCAUCAUCGUAUCUCAAAACAAUCAUAAAGAAUCAAACUUCUCAUAGUAUUCAAUGCACUUUAUAUGAAAGUUUUUAUUAUAUCCCUCUUGGAUGCCCAUCAUAUUAGGACUAAAUUCAUAACCAAAGCAAAUUACCAUGCUGUUUAAGACUCUCAAAAGAAUAUGAGUGAAGCAUGAGAAUUCAUCUAUUUCUUCAAAAUAAAACCACCGCCAUGCUCUAAAAGGAUAUAAGUGAAGCAGUAGAGCAAAUGGCAAACUACUCCGAAAGAUAUAAGUGAAGAUCAAUGAGUAGUCGAAUAAUUAUGCAACUAUGUGAAGACUCUCUAAGAUUUAAUAAUUUCAGAUCUUGGGAUUUUAUUCAAACAGCAAGCAAAACAAAACAAAAUGAUAUUUCAAGGAUAGCACACAUCAUGUGAAGAAGCAAAAACUUAGGUUCAACCGAUACUAACCGAUAAUUGUUGAAGAAGAAAGGUGGGAUGCCUACCGGGGCAUCCCCAAGCUUGGAUGCUUGAGACUUCUUGAAAUAUUAUCUUGGGGUGCCUUGGGCAUCCCAACCUUGAGCUUUUGUGUCUCCUUAAUUCCUUUUAUAUAUAUCGGUUUCCUAAAUCUCGAAAGCUUCAUCCACACCAAACUCAACAAGAACUCGUGAGAUAAGUUAGUAUGAAACAAUGCAAAAACCUUAUCAUUUUAUACUGUAACAAAUCACAAAAAUUAUUAUUCAACAUUGCAUACUAAAUUUCUCUGCAUAUUUAAUACUCCUAUCCUCAUAUAGAAUCAUUAAACAAGCAAACAUAUGCAAACAAUGCAAACAUAACAACAAUCUGCCAAAACAGUACAGUCUUUAAACAAUGCAAGAUUCAUCAUACUUCCCUAACUCCAAGAAUUAUGAGAAAAAUACUACACUGUAUAAGAUUUAUCUGAUCUCAAUAUGCAAAAAGUUUCAAUAUUUUAUCAUUUUCUGAAUUUUCUAGGGAAUUUUUGCAACAGCGGUAAAGUUUCUGUUUUGAAACAGCAACAUGUAUGCUUGCAAAAUAAGCAUGGUAAAGGAUAUCCUUGACAUUUUUAUUGGAAAUAUAGAUGGAAAACAUUAUUCUAAAUAAAAUCAGGCAAAUUCUAACAAAAUAAAAUGACGCUCCAAGCAAAACACAUAUCAUGUGGUGAAUAAAAAUAUAGCUCCAAGUAAAGUUAUCGAUGAACGAAGACGAAAGAGGGGAUGCUAUCCGGGGCAUCCCCAAGCUUAGGGUCUUGGUUGUCCUUGAAUAUUACCUUGGGGUGCCUUGGGCAUCCCGAAGCUUAGGCUCUUGACACUCCUUAUUUCAUAGUCCAUCGAAUCUUUACCCAAAAGGUGAAAACUUCACAACACAAAACUCAACAGAAAACUCGUAAGCUCCGUUAGUAUAAGAAAAUAAAUCACCACUUAGGUACUGUGGUGAACUCAUUCUAAAUUCAUAUUGGUGUAAUAUAUACUAUAUUCCAACUUCUCUAUGGUUCAUACCCUCCAAUACUACUCAUAGAUUCAUCAAAAUAAGCAAACAACACAUAGAAAACAUAAUCUGUCAAAAACAAAACAGUCUGUAGUAAUCUGUAACUCUAGAAUACUUCUGUAACUUAAAAAAUUCUACCAAAUUAGAAAAUCCUGAGCGUACAAAUCCAUAGCAGAAAGAAUCAUAUCAAAAUCACGUUUCAGUGAAUUAUCAAAACUACUUUACUGGGUGAAAAAGUUUCUGAUUUUCAGCAGGAUCAACACAACUAUCACUGUAAGCUAUAUAAAGGUCUUACUUGGCACUUUAUUGAAAUAAAAGCUAUAAAACAUGAUUACUACAAUAGAAUAAUCAUGUUAACACACAAAAACAGUAAAGAUAAAUAUUGGGUUGUCUCCCAACAAGCGCUUUUCUUUAAUGCCUUUUAGCUAGGCAUGAUGAUUUCAAUGAUGCUCGCAUAAAAGAUAAGAAUUGAAACAUAAAGAGAGCAUCAUGAAGAAUAUUACUAACACAUUUAAGUCUAAUCCACUUCCUAUGCAUAGGGAUUUUUUGAUCAAACAACUUAUGGGAAUAAUAAUCAACUAGCAUAGGAAGGCAAAAUAAGCAUAACUUUAAAACUUUAAGCACACAGAGAGGAAACUUGAUAUCAUUGCAACUCCUACAAGCAUAUAUUCCUCCCUCAUAAUAAUUUUCAGUAGCAUCAUGAAUGAAUUCAACAAUAUAACCAUCACAUAAAGCAUUAUUUUCAUGAUCUACUUGCAUAGAAAUUUUACUACUCUCCACAUACGCAAAUUUAUUCUCAUCAAUAGUAGUGGGAGCAAACUCAACAAAAUAACUAUCUUGUGAAGCAUAAUCCAAUUGAAAAUUAAUAUCAUGAUGACUAGUUUCAUGGUUAUUGUCGGUGUCAAAACCGGCGGAUCUCGGGUAGGGGGUCCCGAACUGUGCGUCUAGGCGGAUGGUAACAGGAGACAAGGGACACAAUGUUUUACCCAGGUUCGGGCCCUCUCGAUGGAGGUAAAACCCUACGUCCUGCUUGAUUAAUAUUGAUGAUAUUGGUAGUACAAGAGUAGAUCUACCACGAGAUCAAGGAGGCUAAACCCUAGAAGCUAGCCUAUGGUAUGAUUGUUGUAAUGUAUGUUGUCCUAUGGACUAAAGCCCUCCGGUUUAUAUAGACACCGGAGAGGCUAGGGUUACACAGAGUCGGUUACAAUGGUAGGAGAUCUACAUGUCCGUAUUGCCAAGCUUGCCUUCCACGCCAAGGAAAGUACCAUCCGGACACGAGCCGGAGUCUUCAAUCUUGUAUCUUCGUAGUCUUGGAGUCCGGCGGAUAAUGAUAGUCCAGCUGUCCGGACACCCCCUAGUCCAGGACUCCCUCAGUAGCCCCUGAACCAGUCUUCAAUGACGAUAAGUCCGGCGUGCAUAAUGUUCGGCAUUGCAAGGCGGGUUCCUCCCUUGAAUAAUCCAGAGAAGAUCAUGAACACCAGGAUAGUGUCCGGCUCUGCAAAAAUAAUCUCCACAUUCCACCGUAGAGAGAAUAAAACAUAUACACUAGCUCAAUCUGCUGACGUAUUAUGCGGCGUGACAUCACACCGCAACCAAGCCUUUGUUUGAAUCGUUUUUUACCAUACCACCUCAGCACGUUUAGCGAAGCGGUUUCCUUGGCACGUCCUGUCGAAGCAGAGAUCGUGUUCCCCUUAUUCCGGGAUUCUCAUCAAUACGGAUGUGGGUAACCCAACCGCGCCAUUGAUGGCGGCGCUUGGGAGAUAAGCGAGUUUUACCAGGCCGGUGGGGAACGCAUAGUUUUCGUCCGCCUAUAUAUAAGGGAUAAGGAUUCACCUUCUCACCUACGCCUUCUUCCUCCUUUGCUUAUCCAUUUCCGCGCACUCAAGCUCCAACGCCCAAGCUUGCGCAUCUCGCCUCGACCUCCUCCGAAUAUGUCCGGAGCGGGAGGUAAAUGGUUAGCCUCCACCGCUAAGGAGGAGGACAUCACUAAGCUGCGCGACGCCGGAUACCUUUCCAGCGAUAUCGCGCACCGGCUGCUUGACGAGGGGCAGCUCAUCCCUACCCCUAGGCCACAUGAGAGGGUCGUCUUCCUCCCCCACUUCCUCCGUGGACUGGGCUUUCCGCUCCAUCCAUUUGUCCGGGGGCUCAUGUUUUACUACGGCCUAGAUUUCCACGAUCUGGCGCCGAACUUCAUCCUCAACAUCUCGGCGUUCAUCGUCGUGUGUGAGGCCUUCCUCUGCAUCCGGCCCCACUUCGGCCUGUGGCUCAAGACCUUCAACGUCAAGCCGAAGGUUGUGAAGGGCACGCAAGCGGAAUGCGGAGGCAAAUUGCCCAACGUCCCUUGGCUUGAAGGGACCUUCGUGGACUCCGUCAAGGGGUGGCAAUCGGGGAGGUUCUACAUCACCGAGCCGCACAAGCCCACAUGGGCGGCGGCCCCCGAGUUUAGAUCUGGAAUCCCCACGCAGCUCACCUCCUGGAAAGAGAAGGGCUUGCAGUGGGGCAAUCCGGUGGAGGUGACAGGACUCCGAGCCUGCAUCAAGAAGAUGGUGAGCAAUAGGCUCCGGCUUGUCGACGUGGUCCAAGUCAUGCUCCUCCGGCGGAUUCUCCCAUGCCAAUAACGGGCAUUCAAUUUGUGGGAGUUCAAUCCGGAACAGCACCAGGCGCUAAGCGGGCUCUUCGAUACAACAUACGAAGGCGCCUGGAGGGUGCUGUUCAAGGGCGCAGAAGCCCCCGCAUCCACGACGGAAGAUCGCGGAUUCAGCUCGCAGUGUCCAACUGACGAGGUAAGUGAUUCAAUCCCAUCACGGGACACUUGUGAUAAUUAAAUUAGCUUUUAAUGGGAUCUCAUUCUGCCACUUCCUUUGACAGGAAUGGAUGGAGAAGGCUAAGCUACUUAUCAGCCCGGCUCCCAUGCCAGAAGACCCAGUGGACGCCCGCUUAACAGGGCUACUGGUUCCGGCACCGCACGUGGUGCCGGAGAAGAAGGCCAAGAAGGUGGCCACGGGGACUCGAAAGUGUUCCCGCAAUCAGGUGUCUGACGACGACGAGGACUCCUUCCCUGAAGACGAGGAGGAGGAGUAUUCUCUCCCGGAGGAGGGAGAGAAGAAGAGGAAGGCUUCCCCAAUCGGGGAGGCCGAAGGGUCCAAGAGGGGGAGAACUAUCCCCCCGGAGAGUUUCGCCAACAUCAAGGUUGGCGAGGAUGAGUGGCCUCCAAGGGCCAGGCGUCCGGCGAGAUCGUAAGUAUCCGGAUCCUUGAUGUGUAAUUUCUUUUAUGUCGCAUAGUAUCCUUCUAACGCCGCAUUCUGUCCGUAGUCCUGCCAAUGAUGAUCUCCCCGACUCAUCGAGCGGGUCAUUGGCCUUGUCGGAUGUGAAUUCCAUCCCGACUGCCUCUACCCCACGCGUCGACAAGGACGCCGAGGUGGGAUCCCAAAGAGGGACCCAUCAGGAGGAGGCUCCGGAGGCGCCGUCAGGCAGCCUCCCGGACUUUGUGCCGGACUCUACAACGGAACCCGCAGUGGUUCCAGAGUCCGGCAAGCGGCCCCUUCGAAAGAAGGGCAGGACCGUGACGCCGGCGGCCUCCGUCCAACCGGAGGCGCCGGAUAACCUGUUGGAGGCGCUUAAAGGCGCUUCCAUCGAGGAAGAACACCGCACUAUCAUGAGUGCGGUGAUUAAGAAGGUUCAGCUCGCUAAGAGCGGGCUGACCGAAGCCUGCAACAGCCUUCUAACAGGCUUUGAGGUAAGAAGUUAAAAUUAUGUAAUGUAAUACCGCAUAGACAGUAGCCCCUGAUGCUUAGUUCGGUGUUCGGAAAGAAAAGCCGGACUGAGGAUCUAACAAGAUAGACGCAGGGUUGCCUAAAAUAUGUCAAUAUGGGUUUGCAAGCUGCGCUGCUGACCUCUACCGCACUAACGGCGGAGGUCGACGUGCUGAAGAAGGAUCUCGAGCGGUCUGAGCAAGAGCUCGGCCAUGCAAAGAAGCAGCUCGAGAAAAAAGAAGGUGAGUAACACCUCUUUGAAUAAGUACCUUACAGAAAAGGGUUUUGGUUGCAAAUAAAAUUAACAAGGAUAAUAUGUGUAUUGCAGGGUCCACUAAAGAGGUGGCGGCCCUGAAGGAUGCUGUGUUCGCGGCCGAACGCAGUGCGGCCGCGGAACGGGCUGAGCGAGAAAAGCAAGAGGCACGGGUGGCGGAAGUUCGGCAAGAGCUCCAGGCUCUCAUGGAAAAGCAUGAGAGUUUGGAGCGUGACUCCAAGACUCGAGAGUCCGAGCUUGCCUUGGCUCUCGAAAGUGCCAAGUCCGCCAAGGCCAAGGCCCAUAAGGCCCUUCAGGAAGUUGAGGACAUAAAGAAGAUAGCGGCGGGUAAGGCAUUUUUCAUGCAAAGCAGGCAUGUUAAUGUGAAUUACCUGAUACUUACCCGAAUUCGGAGCUCUCCAGGGGCGUUUGCAGAUCUGCCGCGUAGCGCGUCUGAUGCCGCCGCAUUCUAUCGUGGCGAGGAGGGGAGCUCGACGGAGAUGGUCUUCUGGUCUCAGUACGCUGAGGCCGGCCAUCCGGUGCCCCCAAGCGACCAGCUGAAGCAGCUGGUCGAACUCCACAAGGUAGCUGAGGAGGCCAUGAAGGGUCUCAUAGUCCGGCUGUGGCCUGGACAGGCCCUGCCUGGGAGCUACUUUGGCCUCGUGCGGCGGCUGGUCGAUGCAUGCCCCAGGCUGGAUGUAGUCAAGCGCUCCGCCUGUAUUGAGGGCGCUCGUCGGGCCCUUGCCCGCAUAAAGGUGCAAUGGGGCAAACUGGAUGCGGAGAAGCUUCUCACGGACCCACCGCCACCGGGCAAGGAGUAUCGCACGCCGGAGAAGUAUUAUAAAAUUGUCCUGAAGGGAGCCUGCGAUAUUGCAGAUGAGUGCUCCCGAAAUGUAAUCUUUGAGUGAACUCGCUGUGUAUUUAUCCUGUGCGCUGGAAACUUCGUUCAUAUGCGCCAUGAGCAACGCUUUUUUAAUUUAAAAUAUUACCUUCUGUGCGACCGUUUGUAAAAUCUGAGAGAUGGCAAGUCGUUGGCUUCAGCCCCCAAGCCACAAGUGCUGGGGUGUUCGGGAUAAACUUGAGCACUCUUUUCCCCAUUUUUGGGUCCAUCUAGGGAGGCGCUCAACACGACGAACAAGGCAACCGGACUUAUAAUGCUUGAACACUCUCACUUAGCCAUAGAAUUCUAUAAUUUUAAAUUUCGGCGAAGCCCCUGGUAUUCGAAAGACCGAAUCCGGGGCGCUAUCCACGCCUUCAUCGGACAUUAUCCGGAACUUCGCUCGAAGCGGCGUGAGUCUUUAAGGACCCCAAAAAACCUCUCGAACAGCGACCAGUCUCUCGCCUUAUCAUGCCAGUCAGUUUUAGCUUUCUCCACUAAGGCGUUAGCCCGGCUCAACCAGGGCGCAAUCGCAGUGGUUCUUCCAGUGCUACCUUAGCCGACAGAACGGAACGUAAGGCACCAAAACAUGGGAGCCGGGCAAACCCAACUAUUGACCUAAGACAUGAUUCGAAGCCGAUUCAUAUAAUGCUAUAAGUUCGGGGUGCCGCACUUGUGAAAGUGUUCGGACUUUAUCACACCAUAAAUUGGGGAACAGAGGCCCCUGGCGUAUUCGGCCGUACCAAAAUAUACGGGUGCAAGAUGUCAUGUAAUGAACAUAUAUGUAAAAGGUAAUGCAAUUGAAAUAAAGAGGUGCUGCAUUAUUUAUGAAAGAAAGUCUGCUAGUAGAGCGGACUGAUACAAAUAGUGCGGUAGGCAAGGGAUUUAGACUAAAUAAACACGUCCCCCUCCAGGGAUGAGCUGCAGACAUGGUGUAUAUAAUCGAAUUUAAUGCUCGUAAUGGAGACCACCUGAAUGUUCAUCGCGGCCUUGUUUAGUCCCUGACUGUUGCAUCGUGAGUUCGGCAGGUUCGCCGCCGGACAGGGCUUCUGGUAAGCAGAGUCCUGUGUACAUAAAAGAAGAAAAAAAUAAAAUAAAAAAAGGGGGGCACACUUGUGAGCCCCCGGUGUGGUCGAACCGCACUCUGGGUCCAUUGCGAUCGUGCCCCCUCCCCUGUGCCCAUGGUAUCUCCAAGCGUAAUGGUGUACGCGGAGUGUUAUUUUUGCGAUCAUGUGCGGGCGAGGGUUGGGGCCGCAUUGCUACGCGUGCUCUGAUCGCGCCAGGUGGUCUUGGUUGGCAUUGCUCCGGGCGCGCUUUGCUGUAUCCGGCCUUUUAACUGCCGGACUUGAGAAUUGCCUUAGAAGGCUGCUAUGUACUUCUGCCGCAAGAGCCGCUGUAUGUUCCUCCGUUCGGAGGGAGCGUUCUGUAUUCCCAUUGACCGUAAUGACUCCACGAGGGCCUGGCAUCUUGAGCUUUAGGUAUGCAUAAUGCGGCACCGCGUUGAAUUUUGCAAAUGCGGUUCGUCCAAGCAGGGCGUGAUAGCCGCUGCGAAACGGGACUAUGUCGAAGAUUAACUCCUCGCUCCGGAAAUUGUCCGGGGAUCCGAAGUCCACUUCCAAUGUGACUGAGCCUGUACAGUUGGCUUCCACUCCUGGGAUGACACCUUUAAAGGUUGUCUUUGUAGGUUUAAUCCUUGAUGGGUCUAUGCCCAUUUUGCGCACUGUAUCCUGAUAAAGCAGGUUCAGGCUACUACCGCCGUCCAUCAGGACUCUUGUGAGGUGAAAUCCAUCGACGAUUGGGUCUAAAACCAAUGCGGCGAAUCCGCCAUGGCGUAUGCUGGUCAGAUGGUCUCUUCGAUCGAAAGUGAUCGGACAAGAGGACCAUGGAUUGAACUUUGGGGCGACUGGCUCCAUCGCAUAGACGUCCCUGAGUGCGCGUUUCCUCUCCCUCUUGGGUAUGUGGGUCGCGUAUAUCAUAUUCACCGUCCGCACUUGUGGGGGGAAACCCUUCUAUUCUCUGUUGUUCGGCGGUCGGGUCUCCUCCUCGUCGUCGCUGUUUAGCCCCUUGUCAUUGUUUUCGGCAAUUAACUUGCCGGCCUGCUUGAACACCCAGCAAUCUCUAUUGGUGUGGUUAGCUGGCUUUUCAGAGGUGCCAUGUAUCUGGCAUAAGCGUUCGAGUAAUCGGUCCAGAUUGGACGGACCCGGAGUGGUUCUUUUGAAUGGCUUCUUCCGCUGACCGGGUUUAGAGCCUCGGAAUCUGGCAUUGACUGCCGUAUCCUCCUUAUCGUCCCCGUUAAUGCGGCGCUUGUUUUUGUUUCGACGUGACCUGCCAUUGUUGUCCUUUGUAUCCGGACUGCCAGAAUUUUUACGGAGGUUGUUGCUACGGGCUAGCCAGCUGUCCUCUCCCGCGCAAAAGCGGGUCAUUAACGAUGUGAGGGCUGCCAUGGAUUUCGGCUUUUCCUGCCCCAGGUGCCGGGCUAGCCAUUUGUCCCGGAUGUUAUGUUUGAAGGCUACAAGGGCCUCUGCAUCCGGACAGUCGACGAUUUGGUUUUUCUUUGUCAAGAACCGUGUCCAGAAUUGUCUGGCCGAUUCGUCUGGCUGCUGAAUAAUGUGGCUUAGGUCAUCGGCGUCUGGUGGUCGCUCGUACGUGCCCUGGAAGUUGUCGAGGAAUGCGGCUUCCAGGUCCUCCCAGCACCCAAUUGACUCUGCGGGCAAGCUGUUUAGCCAAUGCCUAGCUGGUCCUUUAAGCUUGAGUGGGAGGUACUUGAUGGCAUGGAGAUCAUCACCGCGGGCCAUAUGAAUGUGGAGAAGAUAAUCUUCGAUCCAAACCGCGGGGUCUGUUGUGCCAUCGUAAGAUUCGAUGUUUACGGGUUUAAACCCUUCUGGGAUCUGAUGAUCCAUUACUUCGUCAGUGAAGCAUAGAGGGUGUGCGGCGCCCCUGUAUUGGGCAAUAUCAUGACGCAGCUCGAGAGAGCGCUGUCUGCUGUGUUCGGCCCGGCCGGGGUUAUUGUAUCCGGCGCGACGGUAUUCGUCGUGGGUCGUAGGGCGCCCACGUGAUCCGUAGAUGGAUCUGGAUUGCCUUGCCUUGUCCUCCAAUAUGUCUCGCAAGUCCGGCGCGUUCCCUCUUGGCUUCGUACUUUUGGAACAAUGCCGGGGUACUGUCUUGGCUGGGGGCCUGGAUGCCUCUCUGUCACGACCACGGGGUGGUCGGUCAGCCAUAUCAUGCGCUGGUGAUGGAGGUAUGUAUGCUUCCUCUUCUAAUCGGGGGAGGAGCUUGCGUCUUGGGUAACUUUUGGAGGGGCGUUCGAGUUUAUACUCUUCGGCCGCGAGGACCUCGGUCCAUCGAUCGGCCAGCAGGUCUUGAUCAGCUUGGAGCUGUUGCUGCUUUUUCUUUAGGCUGUUUGCUGUGGCGAUAAGCCUGCGCUUGAAGCGCUCUUGUUCGACGGGAUCCUCAGGUACGACGAAUUCAUCAUUGUUGAGGCUUGCUUCGUCUUCGGAGGGAGGCAUAUAGUUAUCAUCCUCAACCCCUUCGUCUGCCGCCCUCUCGUGGGGGCUUGCUUCUGCAUCCUCCUGCGCUGAGUCUUGCUGGAGGGGAUUGUCUUCGGCACUCUCCGGAGUAUUAUUAUCUCCCGUGCCGGAAUCUUCAUUUUUGCUAUGGCGGGAUUUAGAGCGGCGCCGCUGACGUUGGCGUUUGGGCUGCUUCUUUAGAGAAUCUGCCUCCGCUGCUUCUUCGCCAUCCCCGUCUUUUGGGGUGUCCACCAUAUAUAUGUCGUAUGACGAGGUGGUCUUCCAGUGCCCUGUAGGCGCUGGUUCCUGUUCGUCUCCGGCAUCGUCGUCCAUAGUGUCGAUGUCGUCGGAGUCGUAGUCUAGCAUGUCGGUUAGAUCAUCGACAGUGGCUACAAAGUGGGUGGUGGGUGGGCUCUGAAUUUCUUCGUUGGCCGUACCCCAGCCCUCCUGGCCAUAGUCCGGCCAGGACUCUCCUAAUAACGAGAGGUGCUUUAGUGAAUUCAGGAUAUCGCCAAAAGGCGAGUACUGAAAGAUGUCCGCGGCGGUGAAUUCCAUAACCGGCGCCCAAUCCGAAUCGAUUGGUGGGGGCGCGGGAGGUUCGGAGUCCGGCGGGGAGUCCGGCGCCUCGGAAUCACGAGUUUCGCAGGGGACAAGGUCAGUGUUCGGCUCCAACGCCGUGGAUGUGGAAGCCCCCAGGGCGGCGUCUAUCCACCGGCCCUCGAUAUGGGCGAUCGGCUCCGGGCUAAUGGCCGAAGCGGAUCCGGGUGCGGCCACCAAGGCACUGUUCGGCGGCAGAGCUAGAUCGUGCCCAUCGUCACAGUGCGGCGCGCUUGGCUGUGGCUCGAGUCCGUCGAAGAUCAAGUCUCCGCGGACAUCGGCCGUGAAGUUUAAGCUUCCGAAUCUGACCUGACGGCCAGGGGCGUAGCUUUCGAUCUGCUCCAGAUGGCCAAGUGAAUUGGCCCGCAGUGCGAAGCCGCCGCAUACGAAGAUCUGUCCGGGGAGAAAAGUCUCACCCUGGACAGCGUUGUUGGUUGAAGAUGCCAUCAAGCCUAUCGGUGACGACACAGAGGAACUCUCAAUGAAAGCACCAAUGUCGGUGUCAAAACCGGCGGAUCUCGGGUAGGGGGUCCCGAACUGUGCGUCUAGGCGGAUGGUAACAGGAGACAAGGGACACAAUGUUUUACCCAGGUUCGGGCCCUCUCGAUGGAGGUAAAACCCUACGUCCUGCUUGAUUAAUAUUGAUGAUAUUGGUAGUACAAGAGUAGAUCUACCACGAGAUCAAGGAGGCUAAACCCUAGAAGCUAGCCUAUGGUAUGAUUGUUGUAAUGUAUGUUGUCCUACGGACUAAAGCCCUCCGGUUUAUAUAGACACCGGAGAGGCUAGGGUUACACAGAGUCGGUUACAAUGGUAGGAGAUCUACAUGUCCGUAUUGCCAAGCUUACCUUCCACGCCAAGGAAAGUACCAUCUGGACACGAGCCGGAGUCUUCAAUCAGUUAUCUUCGUAGUCUUGGAGUCCGGCGGAUAAUGAUAGUCCGGCUGUCCGGACACCCCUAGUCCAGGACUCCCUCAGUUAUCUUUAUUCUUUAUAGCAUACAUGUCAUCACAAUAAUCAUCUAAAUAGGAGGCAUGCUUUCAUCAUAAUAAAUUUGCUCAUCAAAACUUGGGGGACAAAAAAUAUCAUCUUCAUGAAACAUAGCACCCCCAAGCUUGUGGCUUUGCAUAUCAUUGGCAUCAUGGAUAUUCAAGGAAUUCAUACUAACAACAUUGCAAUUAUGCUCAUCAUUCAAAGAUUUAGUGCAAAACAUUCUAAUGCAUUCUUCCUCUAGCAAUUGAGCACAAUUAUCGGAAUCCUUAUUUUCACGGAAGCCAUUAAAAAGAUGAAGCAUAUGAGGCACCCUCAAUUCCAUUUUUUUGUAGUUUUCUUUUAUAGACUAAACUAGUCAUAAAACAAGAAACUAAAAGAUUCGAUUGCAAGAUCUAAAGAUAUACCUUCAAGCACUCACCUCCCCGGCAACGACGCCAGAAAAGAGCUUGAUGUCUACUAUGCAACCUUCUCCUUGUAGAUGUUGUCGGGCCUCCAAGUGCAGAGGUUUGUAGGACAGUAGCAAAUUUCCCUCAAGUGGAUGACAUAAGGUUUAUCAAUCCAUGGGAGGCGUAGGAUGAAGAUGGUCUCUCUCAAACAACCCUGCAACCAAAUAACAAAGAGUCUCUUGUGUCCCCAACACACCCAAUACAAUGGCAAAUUGUAUAGGUGCACCAGUUCGGCGAAGAGAUGGUGAUACAAGUGAAUAUGGAUGGUAGAUAUGAGUAUUUGUAAUUUGAAAAUAUAAAAACAACAAGGCAACUAAUGAUAAAGUUGAGCACAAACGGUAUUGGAAUGCUUCGAAACAAGGCCUAAGGUUCAUACUUUCACUAGUGCAAGUUCUCUCAACAAUAAUAACAUAACUGGGUCAUAUAACUAUCCCUCAACAUGCAACAAAGAGUCACUCCAAAGUCAAUAAUAGCAGAGAACUAAUGAAGAGAUUAUUCUAGGGUAUGAAACCACCUCAAAGUUAUCCUUUCUUAUCGAUCUAUUCAAGAGUCCGUAGUAAAAUAACACGAAGCUAUUCUUUCCGUUCGAUCUAUCAUAGAGUUCGUACUAGAAUAACACCUUCAGACACAAAUCAACCAAAACCCAAAUGUCAAUUAGAUACUCCAAUGUCACCUCAAGUAUAUGUGGGCAUGAUUAUACGAUAUGCAUCACACAAUCUCAGAUUCAUUUAUUCAACCAACACAAAGUACUUCAAAGAGUGCCCCAAAGUUUCUACCGAAGAGUCAAGCCGAAAACAUGUGCCAACCCCUAUGCAUAAGAUCACAAGGUCACUGAACCCGGAAGUUGAUCACCAAAACAUACAUCAAGUAGAUCACGUGAAUAUCCCAUUGUCACCACAGAUAAGCACAUGCAAGACAUACAUCUAGUGUUCUCGAAUCCUUAAAGACUCAAUCCGAUAAGAUAACUUCAAAGGGAAAACUCAAUCCAUUACAAGAGAGUAGAGGGGGAGAAACAUCAUAAGAUCCAACUAUAAUAGCAAAGCUCGCGAUACAUCAAGAUCGUGCCAAAUCAAGAACACGAGAGAGAGAGAGAGAGAGAGAGAGAGAGAGAGAGAUCAAACACAUAGCUACUGGUACAUACCCUCAGCUCGGAGGGUGAACUACUCCCUCCUCAUCAUGGAGAGCGCCGGGAUGAUGAAGAUGGCCACCGGUGAGGGAUCCCCCCUCCGGCAGGGUGCCGGAACAGGGUCCCGAUUGGUUUUUGGUGGCUAUAGAGGCUUGCGGCCGUGGAACUCCCGAUCUAUUGUGCUCCUAGAUGUUUUCGGGGUAUAUGGAUAUAUAUAGGCGAAAGAAGUCGGUCAUGGGAACCACGGGGGCCCAUGAGGGUGGGGGCGCGCCCAGGGGGGUAGGGCGCGCCCUGGACUCUCGUGGCUUCCUCGAAGCUUCUCUGGCGUCUACUCCAAGUCUCCUGGAUUGCGUUUGUUCCAAAAAUAACUCUCCCGAAGGUUUCAUUCCGUUUGGACUCCGUUUGAUAUUCCUUUUCUUCAAAACACUGAAAUAAGCAAAAAAAUAGCAAUUUGGGUUGGGCCUCCGGUUAAUAGGUUAGUCCCAAAAAUAAUAUAAAAGUGUAUAAUAAAGCCCAUAAACAUCCAAAACAGAUAAUAUAAUAGCAUGGAACAAUAAAAAAUUAUAGAUACGUUGGAGACGUAUCAGGGGGAUUAGAUCCUUCACUUUGUAAGACGGAGUCGGCAUCUUCUCAUUUUCCAAGUCAUAAGCCGGUUGAUAUCUAGAAAGAUCUGUUUCAUUGACAAUCAGACUGGCCAGGGGACUUAUUGUCACAUCCCUAGUUCUGGUAUGCUCAAGGCUAGCUGUCAUGUGUGCAUCAUGUUUAAAUUCCAUUUAAAUUUGAAAUGAGGAUUUGUGAAACCCUUAGAAUCAUCUCUGGAAAUGACCCAAAUGAAAAAGUGCUCCAAAAAGGUCCAAGAAAAUGUUCAUGUUGCUCUAUGAUAAUAUUAGACAGAGAUAAAAAUCAAACAAAUAUUUUUAGGAGCUCAUAAGUAUUUAUUUUGGGCAUUUGGAAUUAAUGCGGUAAUUAUUUGCUUUGGAUAUAUAUUGUUAUAUAUAUAAAAUAUUGUCCAAAAAUUAUGCCAGUUGUUUAGGAGCUCUGGAAUAAUGCCACUAGCCCCUACAAAAAUUGGCAUAAGAAAAUAAAAUGGUUUAGUAUUUUUAUUAAACCAAACAAAUGUAAGAAAAAUAGAAAAGAAAAACAAAGGGAAAACCUUACCUGGACCUACCUGCGGCCCAGCUCCUGUGCUGGCCCGGCACUGCGCAGCCCAGCAGCUGGCCCAGCCCGCCUCCUCCCUGUCGUCUUCCUCCUGCCAGGAGGACGGGCGCGUGCCCGACGCGCGCGCACCACCGCGCCACGCCACCUCCUCCCUCCCUGUCUGCCUGUCCCUCCGUGAUGCAUCUGGACGCCGCCACGCCGCCCCCCGGACCCUCUCACUCUCCCCCAAUCCUCUCCUCUCCUCUCCCUCUUCCUCGCUUUCUCUCUCAUGGCCGAACGCCACCACUGCCACCGACGAGCACCACCAUAGCCAUCGCCUCCCCCUUGCCUCUCAGACACGCACAGGAGCUCCGCCUCCUCGCUCUGUAGCCUCUCCGCCAAGCUGUGCAUCGCCGGAUGCCCCGUGGAGCCGUCGCCGUCGCCUUCAUCACCUCUGGCCGCCGUGGAUAUCCGUCGCCGCUCACCGCCGUCAGCGCCUCCCUCGAGCUCUCCGUCGUCUCUUCCGGUCCCCUGUGAGCCCCCCGCGUCGGUUCCCCCUCCUCUCCUGCCUCCUCGUGCGCCGUAGCCGCGUGCCCGCUCAAGCCGAGCUCCGGCCGCCGCUGCGAGCUCCGCUCCGACGAGCUCCGGCACCCUCGCGGCUUCCCGUCUGCUCCCCUGGAUGCGGGAGAGCACGGGCUAUGCCCUGGUGCUCUCAGAUGCCGCCCCUGUGGCCCCCAACGCGGACGCCGCUGCGUCCUGUGGUCGCCGCUGACGACCUCGCCGGCCUGACGGGUGGGCCCCGUCGGCCAGGUGAUUAAUUACCGCCUAUCUAACCUCUGACACUGACUAGUGGGCCCCGUGCCCCCUAAUCCUUUUAAUUAAGCAAAUAACCCCCUGUUUAACCCCGUGUCAGUCACGUGUGGACCCCACACGUCAAGUUUGACCUGGAGUGACCUGUUGACCUGCUGACGUCACUCAGAAAUUCCCGAAAAUUAGCAAAACUUCAAAAAAUCAUAGAAAUUCAACCGUAGCUCAGAUUAAAAUAAGUCAUAUAUGAAAAAUUAUCAGAAAAAUGCAAUCUAUCCAUCUUUUCUAGUUUCAUGCAUGACAAACCAACUUAUACCUACUGUAUAAGUGAAAACAUGUAAAUGGCAUUUAUAAGAGCUUAAUUUGGAUUUGCAUUUGAACUCUUGGUUCAAAUGAACUUCAACCAAAUGAUUGCUAGAUGCAUUAGCACAAACAACUUAACAUCUACAUGCCAUGAUCAUGCAUCAUAUUGUUGCAUAUGUUGUGUAUUGAUUGUCGACACCGUUCCUUCUCGAUAGGUCCUGCUCCGGAGACCGUUCCAGAGUACCUGUCUGAGGAGCAGUGCCCCCCUGUUGAUCUACCAGGCAAGCAAACCCCCUUGUUCAUUCCGAUACAAUCCAACUCUCUCGCUCCUGAUCUCAGUUAUUGCAUUAGGACAACAACGAUUCAUCUGCUACUUUGUGCCACGGUAGUUGAACCCAUUCCUCUGCAUGACCUGUCAUUGCCACAGUAAAUAGUUGAAACCCACUAGCAUGUGUAGGAGUUGAUUGAGCCAUGUUGUGUUCCUACCAUGCUAUGCCUACUAUUGCUUAGAGUUGUGUCAGGUCUGAUUCAUUAGGAAUGAAUUGGAGUGUUACGAUAUGUUCUGAUGCUGAGAGUGAAGUGUAUGAACACGAUUUGGUAAAGGUAGUGGUGAGAGGCCAUGUAGGAGUACAUGGUGGGUUGUCUCACUGGAACCGUCCUUAAGCACUGAGUUCUAUGUAUGUUGUCCAAUGACUCGAUACUACCACACAUUGGGAUCCUUAAUUGACUUUCUCGACUUAUUAACCAACUUGAUCUCUGUCCAGGAGUCGCAACUAGUUUUUGGUGUUUGUAGGUAGUGCUAUUUUUCUACCAAGUGGCACCCGGCAGGGUUGGCUUGGGACAGACUAGGCACACGUGGCCUGGUGUACCGAGUGGCACCCGGAUGGUGGGCUCGGGAACCCUGCACACAUCGUUUGGGUCCAUGAGCGACACCCCGGCCGGAUCUCCUUCCGGAUGGAACCCGAAUAGGCGAUAAACCUGGGCUAGAGUCUUGUGUGGUCAGUCAGGUCGUGCCCGACACCCUUGCCAGGCUUCCGCUUGAAGGUUGCCGAGAUGCAUGACGUGUACAUGGCGGUAAGUGGCGAGAGCGUGUGUGAAGAAGUACACCCCUGCAGGGUUAACAUGAUCUAUUUGAAUAGCCGGGUCCGCGGUUAUGGACUUCUUGGAUGCUUACAUGGUACAUAGACAACUUGAAGUGGAUACUAUAAAAUGCUCAAGACAAGUGUGAGUGCUACGGAUGGCCAUCUCGUAGGGAGACAGGGAUGAGUCCAUAGUAGUGUAUUGUGUGGUGAUUAGUGGACUCGUGUGCGCCAUCUCACCUCAAAGAAGUUCUCGUAGUCGUAGAACAAGAUAGCCACUGAGUCAAAGCUGGCUUGCUACAACUAAACCCCACAUUACCAUCUUGAUACAAAUGCAUGUAUGAUAGUAUCUGAUGUAAGUCUUGCUGAGUACCUUUGUACUCAUGUUGCUUUAUUUCUGUUUUUGCAGCGGAGACUUCAGUCUUACUAGUGUUCUCGUGGACUUCGACGAGUAGCUUGUACCUCAGCUACGAUCUUGAUAGGAUGCUGUAGAUAGUCAGGCUCUUCAGCCUUUUUCAUUUGUAGAUGUCUGUACUCAGACAUGUAAUGCUUCCGCUUGUUGCUUGUUUGCUCUGCAUGUUGGGUCAUGUGACCCCUACUUGUAAUAAAUGCUAUGAUGGCUCUUCUGAGCCUUUAUCUAUAUGAGUUAUUGAGUUAUGCUGUGAUGCCAUGUUGUACAACACAUACUUGCAUGUUAUGCGUACGUGUAAUGUGUAUUGCUAUGUGUGGGAUCUGACUAUCUAGUUGUUUAUCCUUAGUAGCCUCUCUUACCGGGAAAUGUCUCCUAGUGCUUCCACUGAGCCCUGGUAGCUUGCUACUGCUCCGGAACACUUAGGCUGGCCGGCAUGUGUCCUUCUUCGUUCCUGUGUCUGUCCCUUCGGGGAAAUGUCACACGGUGUCUACCGGAGUCCUGUUAGCCUGCUACAGCCCGGUUUACCGGAGUCCUGCUAGCCCAGUUGGUACAGCCCGGAUUCACUUGCUGAUGACCGACACGUUCGUUGCUGGGUCAUGUAUGCCUGUCCCUGUAAGUUAGUGCCACUUUGGGUUCACGACUAGCCAUGUCAGCCCGGGUUCUUUGUCAUAUGGAUGCUAGCAACACUAUCAUAUAAGUGUGCCAAAAGGCACAAACAGUCCCGGGCAUGGUGAGGCGACACCCGUGGGAAUACCGUGCGUGAGGCCGCAAAGUGAUAUGAGGUGUUACAUGCUAGAUCGGUGUGACUUAGGAUCAGGGUCCUGACACGUAUGUCCUUCACGCAGGCGGCAAAGUCUUUUUUAUCAUAAGUGGUGCCAUCCUCUUUCAAGCUUGGGUACCCGGUAGAUAUAUCAACCGGGUCUAGCUCCAGUAACCAUGCUUUGGCCCGGCUUAAGGCCGGGCCUAGAUCGGUGUGACUUAGGAUCGGGGUCCUGACAGCUUUGGUAUCAGAGCCUGACUGCCUAUAGGAUUAUCAAGCAAAACUGGUCGAAGUUGAGUCUAGAAAUUCUCUAGUUAUGUAAGGGAAUUGAUUGUGGGAAGGAACGUAAGGCUCUUUUUACUCCUUAUACCUCAUGGCCUUCUGAUCUGAGUCAUCCUAUCUUUCCUGCGGGGAUAAGGUACUAGGCUUUCUCUUCUGUCUAUCAGGAUCACGUGUUACUACUCCGUAGUCCCAUAGGAUUGGUUGAUCAGAGUCAUAUUCCAGUUUUUGAGUACUUUCGGUGUAGCCUGAUUAGUACUAUCUCAGAACCUUGAGUGAUGAUGUUGAGUAUGUUACUACCCCAUUUUAGCAGGAUGUCUCAUUCUGAGCAUUUUACUGCCGUUAUGCUGCCGGAAUUGCCCUAGGAGUUCGAGAGUUACUAAUUUCCUUAUCCUACAUUCUACAGUCGAUAGUUGAUGUUGAUUCCGUCCUUGGUUUCGUUUCUCAGGAUGUCAUCAGUCAAGCGAAGUUCUGUUGCUCGUAGCCAGAACCACGGAUAUGGUAGGGAUGAGGAUCCUCCCGACCCGCCUUCAUUGACAGAGUUCAUGUUAGAGAUGGAGAGGAACAAGCGUGAGUCCAACCGCUUGUUGGCACGUAUCGAGGAGAACACUGCACAUCAGUUCAAAGGGUCUGCUACCAUUCAUGACUUCAUUCGCUUGCACCCACCCACCUUUCAUCAUUCUAUUGAGCCACUCGAUGCAGAUGACCGGCUCCGUAGCACCACUCAUAAGCUGCGUUCCGCGAACGUAGCUGAAGAUGACAAGGUCACCUAUGUCACAGACCACCUGGAAGGUCCUGCUAGUCUUUGGUGGCAGAACUAUGAGGCUAUGCUUCCAGCUGGCCAGAUUCCUACCUGGAGGGAUUUCACUGAGGCUUUUCGCGAGCAUCACAUUCCCCAGGCCCUCAUUGAUCGCAAGAGAGAAGAGUUCUAUAGUUUCACCCAGAAUAAGAUGGUUGUUGAUGCUUACAGUAGAGAGUUUGAGAACCUUGCCUGCUAUGCAUCAGAAGAGGUGUCCACGGACACCAAGAAGCAGGCUAGGUUCCGGAAGGGUCUCAACCCCAAGUUGCAUCGUGAUCUCCACCUACAUCAUUGUGAUACAUUCCAAGCUCUUGUGAACAAGGCCAUUAAUGCAGAGACAGCUCAGCUCACUUACGAGGAGUCUCGUAAGCACACCUGUUUCUCAGAAGCGUCGGAUUUGGAUUCCAAACUCCGCUCUUCCUUCCGAAUAUGCACCGAGACCAUCUUAUGUGGUGCCUCCCCCGUCUCAGUCGUAUGUUCCACCCAGGUCUACUGAUAGACCGCUUGUCAGUGCGGGUCCACGUCCAACUUCAGGGACUUGCUUCACUUGCGGGAAGCCAGGGCACUAUGCACGUGACUGCCCUCAGGCCAGUUAUGUUCCACCCCAGCCCAAGAAGUCUGUUGGCUGCGUUAAGCCAUCAAGCGAGAUGAUUAGUGCCAAGCCAGCUUGCACUAAACGUGGACGUGUGCAUCACAUCUCAGCUAAAGACGCUCAUGAUGAUUCGGAUGUCGUUCUUGGUACACUUCUUGUCAAUUGUCAUCCAGCAUCGGUUCUAUUUGAUACUGGAGCAUCCCAUUCUUUCAUCUCUGAAGGCUAUGCCCGUUUGCACGACAUGUCAUUUUGUGAUAUGCCAACUCCGCUUGAAAUCCAAACCCCAGGGUCUAGAUGGCAAACUACCAGAAUCAGCUAUGGUAAUGAAAUCCUUGUCGAUAGACUUGUAUUUCUUGCAUCACUUGUAGCCCUCAAGUCCUCAGAUAUUAACAUCAUCUUGGGUAUGGACUGGAUGACAGCUCAUCAUGCCAAGAUUGACUGUUACACCAGAUUUGUUCAGCUUACACACCCAUCUAGCAAGAUAGUCACGGUCUCCACCAGAGUUGCACAGCGUCAGCUCUAUUCUCUUAAUGCCAGCCCUCUUCCAGACCUUGAAGAUAUCCCUGUAGUCCGUGACUUUCCGGAUGUCUUUCCAGAGGAACUACCAGGUGUUCCACCUGACAGAGAUGUAGAGUUCGUCAAAGAUCUUAUCCCAGGAACCGCUCCAAUCCCUAGGAGACCUUACAAAAUGGCACCUUUAGAACUAGCCGAGCUUAAGAAACAACUUGAUGAGUCCUUGCAAAAGGGUUUCAUCCGUCCUAGUUCUUCUCCUUGGGCUUGCCCCGUCCUCUUCGUCAAGAAGAAGGAUGGUACGGACCGGAUGGUUGUAGAUUAUCGUCCCGUUAAUUUGGUCACGAUAAAGAACAAAUAUCCGCUCCCUAGGAUCAACGAUCUGUACGAUCAUCUCGCUGGAUCCUCAGUCUUCUCCAAGAUGGAUUUGAGGUUAGGCUACCACCAAAUCAAGAUCAGAAACGGGGACAUCCUCAAGACAGCCUUUGUCACUCGUUAUGGCCAGUACGAGUACACCGUCAUGUCCUUUGGUCUAACCAAUGCCCAGCCACAUUCUCUCGCUUGAUGAACCCGAUCUUCAUGGAUUACUUAGAUAAAUUCGUCGUGGUUUACCUCGAUGAUAUUCUUAUUUACUCAAAGAACGAGGAAGAGUAUGCCGAACAUCUUAGACCUGUGUUAGAAAAAUUCAAAGAGCACCGCCUUUAUGCCAAGUUCUCCAAGUGUGAAUUUUGGUUGCCAGAAGUGACCUACCUAGGCCACGUAAUCUCUGGUAAGUGCAUUGCUGUCAAUCCCGAGAGAGUUAAGGCUGUUCUCGAUUGGACUCCACCUGAAACAGUCAAACAAGUUAGGUGUUUCCUUGGUCUAGCCAGCUAUUGUCGCCGCUUUGUUGAAAACUUCUCCAAAGUAGCCAAACCCCUCACAGAACUUCUUAAGAAAGAUAAAAAGUUUGCGUGGUCCCCACAGUGUGAGUACAGCUUUCAGGAACUGAAAAGACGCCUGACUUCUGCUCCCAUACUUGUGCCACCGGAUUUCACUAAAGACUUUGUUAUCUACUGUGAUGCCUCACGACAGGGCUAGGUUGCAUUCUUAUGCGGGAUCGUCAUGUGAUUGCCUAUGCAUCUUGUCAGUUGCAUCCACAUGAGGAGAAUUAUCCUACACAUGAUCUAGAGCUGGCAGCCGUAGUCUAUGCACUCAAGACCUGGCGACAUUACCUUCUUGGUAAAUGUUGCGAGAUCUACACCGAUCAUCAGAGUCUCAAGUAUAUCUUCACCCAACCAGAUUUGAACCUUAGGCAAAGACGUUGGUUGGAAAUGAUCUCAGAUUAUGAUCUAGCGAUUACAUACACCCCAGGCAAAGCCAUGUCAUGGCUGAUGCACUAAGUCGUAAAUCCUAUUGCAACAAUCUCAUGUUGCAGCAGGGCCAACCACUUCUCCAUGAGGAAUUCUGUAAGCUUAAUCUUCACAUUGCUCCUCACGGAUUCCUUUCUACCUUGGUGGUGAAACCUACUCUUGAGGAUCAGAUCAUAACUAGCCAGCAGUAUGAUACGGGUAUUUCUCGAAUCAAGGAUAACGUGAAGAAGGGAGCUGCUGGUAGUUUCUCUGUUGAUGAUCGAGGUUUUGUUUUCUUCGAGAACCGUUUGGUGGUCCCCAAGAAGCAGCAUCUUCGACAACUGAUUCUUAAGGAGGCGCAUGAAUCUCCUCUCACAAUUCAUCUCGGUAGUACUAAGAUGUAUCAGGACCUACGCCAGAGGUUCUGGUGGACUAGGAUGAAGAGAGAAAUUGCUCAGUUUAUCACUAACUGUGACGUUUGUCAUCGCGUUAAGGCAGAGCAUCAAAGACCUGCUGGCACCCUUCAGCCUUUAGCUAUUCCUGAAUGGAAAUGGGAUAAAGUUGGUAUGGACUUCAUCACCGGCUUUCCCAGGACCAAGAGAGGGAAUAACGCUAUCUUCGUAGUCGUUGAUCGUCUCUCCAAAGUGGCACACUUCCUACCUGUACGAGAGAGUAUCACUACUAGUCAGCUAGCUGACUUAUAUAUUUCUCGAAUAGUAUCACUUCAUGGUGUUCCACUAGAGAUCAAUUCAGACCAUGGUAAUCUUUUCACUUCUCAUUUCUGGGAGAGUUUCCAGACUGCCAUGGGAACCCAUCUUUCCUUCAGUACCGCUUUCCACCCUAAGUCGAGUGGUCAGGUGGAAAGGGUCAAUCAAAUUCUCGAAGACAUGCUUAGAGCUUGCGUUAUCUCAUUCGGUAUGGAUUGGGAGAAAUGUCUUCCUUUUUCCGAGUUUGCUUAUAACAAUAGCUAUCAAUCCAGUCUCAAGAAAGCUCCUUUUGAGAUUCUCUAUGGACGAAGAUGUCGAACACCCUUGAACUGGUUAGAAACUGGUGAAAUACAAUUCUUUGGACCGGACAUAAUCCAGGAGUCAAAAGAGCAAGUUCGCAUCAUUCGUGAUAAUUUGAAAAUAGCCCAGUCUCGUCAAAAGAGCCAAUAUGAUCGUCAUCAUAGGGAUAUGACUUAUGAAAUUGGCGACAAAGCUUACCUUCGGGUUACUCGUUUGAAGGGUACCCAUCGUUUCGGUAUCAAGGGCAAGUUGGCUCCUCGUUAUAUUGGUCCUUUCGCAUUCUCGCUAAACGAGAAGAGGUUGCCUACCAGUUGGAACUACCCCCACAUCUUUCUCGAGUUCAUGAUGUCUUCCACGUCUCUCAACUCAGGCGUUUCUUCUCGGAUCCUAUCCAUGGAGUGGACCAUGAAACGCUUGAUCUCCAAGAUAACCUCACCUAUCGAGAGUACCCUGUUCGCAUUCUUGAUCAAGCAGAGCUUGUCACUCGACGUCAUAACAUCAAGUUUCUUAAGGUUCAGUGGUCUCAUCAUUCCGAGAGAGAAGCAACUUGGGAGCGAGAAGAUCGUCUUCGACUGGAGUACCCCGCUUUCUUUCCAUCGACCCCUGAAUCUUGGGACGAGAUUCUUUCAAGUGGGGGCGAGUUGUCACAUCCCUAGUUCUGGUAUGCUCAAGGCUAGCUAGUCAUGUGUGCAUCAUGUUUAAAUUCCAUUUAAAUUUGAAAUGAGGAUUUGUGAAACCCUCAGAAUCAUCUCUGGAAAUGACCCAAAUGAAAAAGUGCUCCAAAAAGGUCCAAGAAAAUGUUCAUGUUGCUCUCUGAUAAUAUUGGACAGAGAUAAAAAUCAAACCAAUAUUUUUAGGAGCUCAUAAGUAUUCAUUUUUGGCAUUUGGAAUUAAUGCAGUAAUUAUUUUCUUUGGAUAUAUAUUGUUAUAAUAUAAAAUAUUGUCCAAAAAUUAUGCCAGUUGUUGAGGAGCUCUGGAAUAAUGCCACUAGCCCCUACAAAAAUUGGCAUAAGAAAAUAAAAUGGUUUAGUAUUUUUAUUAAACCAAACAAAUGUCAGAAAAAUAGAAAAGAAAAAGAAAGGGAAAACCUUACCUGGACCUACCUGCGGCCCAGCUUCUGUGCUGGCCAAGCACUGCGCAGCCCAGCAGCUGGCCCAACCCGCCUCCUCCCCUGUCGUCUUCCUCCUGCCAAGAGGACGGGCGCGUGCCCGACGCGCGCGCACCGCCGCGCCGCGCCACCUCCUCCCUCCCUGCCUGCCUGUCCCUCCGCGAUGCAUGUGGACGAUGCCACGCCGCCCCCGGACCCUCUCACUCUCCCCCAGUCCUCUCCUCUCCUCUCCCUCUCCCUUGCUUUCUCUCUCACGGUCGAACACCACCACCGCCGCCGACGAGCACCACCUUAGCCGCCACCUCCCCCUCGCCUCUCCGACACGCACAGCAGCUCCGCCUCCUCGCUCUGUAGCCUCUCCGCCAAGCUGUGCAUCGCCGGACGCCCCGUGGAGCCGUCACCGUCGCCUUCAUGACCUCCGGCCGCCAUGGAUUUCCGUUGCCGCUUGCUGCCAUCAGCGCCUCCCUUGAGCUCGCCGUCGUCUCUUCCGAUCCCCUUUGAGCCCCCCCGUGUCGGUCCCCCCUCCUCUCCUGCCUCCCCGUGUGCCGUAGCCACGCGCACGCUCGAGCCGAGCUCUGGCCGCCGCCGCGAGCUUCGCUCCGGCGCCCUCGCGGAUUCCCGUCUGCUCCCCUGGAUGCGGGAGAGCACGGGCUACGCCCCGGUGCUCUCAGACGCCGACCCCGUGGUCCCCAACGCGGACGCCACCGCAUCCUGUGGUAGCCGCCGAGGACCUCGCCGGCUUGACGGGUGGGCCCCGUCGGCCAGGUGAUCUGUGGUAGCCGCCGAGGACCUCGCCGGCUUGACGGGUGGGCCCCGUCGGCUAGGUGAUUAGCUUAGUGCUAAUAACCGCCUAUCUAACCCCUGACACUGACCAGUAGGCCUCGUGCCCCCUAAUCCUUUUAAUUAAGCAAAUAACCCCCUGUUUAACCCCGUGUCACUGAUGUGUGGACCCCACACGUCAGGUUUGACCUGGAGUGACCCGUUGACUUGCUGACGUCACUCAGACGUCAUGCUGACGCAAUUAAUACUUUUCUGGUUUAAAUUUAAAUCAGGAAAUUCCAGAAAAAAUUAGCAAAACUUCAAAAAAUCAUAGAAAUUCAACAAUAGCUCAGAUUAAAAUAAGUCAUAUAUGAAAAAUUAUCACAAAAAUGCAAUCUAUCCAUCUGCUCUAGUUUCAUGCAUGACAAACCAACUUAUACCUACUGUAUAAGUGAAAACAUGUAAAUGGCAUUUAUAAGAGCUUAAUUUGGAGUUGCAUUUGAACUCUUGGUUCAAAUGAACUUCAACCAAAUGAUUGCUAGAUGCAUUAGCACAAACAACAUCACAUCUACAUGCCAUGAUCAUGCAUCAUAUUGUUGCAUAUGUUGGGUAUUGAUUGUCGACACCGUUCCUUCUCGAUAGGUCCUACUCCGGAGACCGUUCCAGAGUACCUGUCUGAGGAGCGGUGCCCCCUAUUGAUCUACCAGGCAAGCAAACCCCCUUGUUCAUUCCGAUACAAUCCUACUCUCUCGCUCCUGCUCUCAGUUAUUGCAUUAGGACAACAACGAUUCAUCUACUACUUUAUGCCGCAGUAGUUGAACCCAUUCCUCUGCAUGACCUGUCAUUGCCACAGUAAAUAGUUGAAACCCACUAACAUGUGUAGGAGUUGAUUGAGCCAUGUUGUGUUCCUACCAUGAUAUGCCUACUAUUGCUUAGAGUUGUGUUAGGUUUGAUUCAUUGGGAAUGAAUUGGAGUGUUACGAUAUGUUCUGAUGCUAAGAGUGAAGUGUGUGAACACGAUUUGGUAAACGUAGCGGUGAGAGGCCAUGUAGGAGUACAUGGUGGGUUGUCUCACUGGAACCGUCCUUAAGCACUGAGUUCUAUGUAUGUUGUCCAAUGACUCGAUACUACCACACAUUGGGAUCCUUAAUUGACUCUCUCGACUUAUUAACCAACUUGAUCUCUGUCCAGGAGUGGCAACUAGUUUCUGGUGUUUGUAGGUAGUGCUAUUUUUCUACCAAGUGGCACCCGACAGGGUGGGCUUGCGACACACUAGGCACACGUGGCCUGGUGUACCUAGUGGCACCCGGAUGGUGGGCUCGGGAACCCUGCACACAUCAUUUGGGUCCGUGAGCGACACCCCGGCCGGAUCUCCUUGCGGAUGGAACCCUAAUAGGCGAUAAACCUAGGCUAGGGUCUUGUGUGGUUAGUCCGGUCGUGGCCGACACCCUCGCCAGGCUUCCGCUUGAAGGUUGCCGAGAUACAUGACGUGUACAUGGCGGUAAGUGGCGAGAGCGUGUGUGAAGAAGUACACCCCUGCAGGGUUAACAUGAUAUAUUUGAAUAGCCGGGUCCGCGGUUAUGGACUUCUUGGAUGCUUACAUGGUACAUAGACAACUUGAAGUGGAUACUAUAAAAUGCUCAAGACAAGUGUGAGUGCUACGGAUGGCCUUCUCGUAGGGAGACAGGGAUGAGUCCAUAGUAGUGUAUUGUGUGGUGAUUAGUGGACUCAUGUGCGCCAUCUCACCUCAAAGAAGUUCUCGUUGUCGUAGAACAGGAUAGCCACUGAGUCAAAGCUGGCUUGCUACAACUAAACCCCACAUUACCAUCUUGAUACAAAUGCAUGUAUGAUAGUAUCUGAUGUAAGUCUUGCUGAGUACCUUUGUACUCAUGUUGCUUUAUUUAUGUUUUUGCAGCGGAGACUUCGGUCUUACUAGUGUUAUCGUGGACUUCGACGAGUAGCUUGUACCUCCGCUACGAUCUUGAUAGGAUGCUGUAGAUAGUCAGGCUCUUCAGCCUUUUUCAUUUGUAGAUGUCUGUACUCAGACAUGUAAUGCUUCCGCUUGUUGCUUGUUUGCUCUGCAUGUUGGGUCAUGUGACCCCUACUUGUAAUAAAUGCUAUGAUGGCUCUUCUGAGCCUUUAUCUAUAUGAGUUAUUGAGUUAUGUUGUGAUGCCAUGCUGUACAACACAUACUUGCAUGUUAUGCGUACGUGUAAUGUGUAUUGCUAUAUGUGGGAUCUGACUAUCUAGUUGUUUAUCCUUAGUAGCCACUCUUACCGGGAAAUGUCUCCUAGUGCUUCCACUGAGCCCUGGUAGCUUGCUACUGCUCCGGAAUACUUAGGUUGGCCGGCAUGUGUUCUUCUUCGUUCCUGUGUCUGUCCCUUCGGGGAAAUGUCACGCGGUGUCUACCGGAGUCCUGUUAGCCUGCUACAGCCCGGUUUACCGGAGUCCUGCUAGCCCAGUUGGUACAGCCCAAAUUCACUCGCUGAUGACCGACACGUUCAUUGCUGGGUCAUGUAUGCAUGUCCCUGUAAGUUAGUGCCACUUUGGGUUCACGACUAGCCAUGUCAGCCCGGGUUCUUUGUCAUAUGGAUGCUAGCAACACUAUCAUAUACGUGUGCCAAAAGGCACAAACGGUCCCGGGCAUGGUAAGGCGACACCCGUGGGAAUACCGUGCGUGAGGCCGCAAAGUGAUAUGGGGUGUUACAUGCUAGAUCGGUGUGACUUAGGAUCGGGGUCCUGACACGUAUGUCCCUCAUGCAGGCGGCAAAGUCUUUUUUAUCAUAAGGGGUGCCAUCCUCUUUCAAGCUUGGGUACCCGGUAGAUAUAUCAGCCGGGUCUAGCUCCAGUAACCAUGCUUUGGCCCGGCUUAAGGCCGUCCUAGCUCCGGCUCUUGCAGAUGAUCAGUUCAUCUCACUAAACCUCUCAGGCAGAAUGGAAAGCUUCCUCAACACAUCAACCAAGAUAGUAGGGGCUUGGUUAGAUGGAGAAAUUGUGGCUAAUGCGUGCUGAGCCCUUAUAUAAAGCUUCUCCACUAGUGUGUAACCGCCUUCAACUUCACAAGCAUAAUAAUCGUGGAUGGAUUAGAGGCGGCUUAUAUAAUCAAGGAAGAAAUUUAAAUGGAUACUAGUGAGGCGACUUACCAAAGAUAGCAGAAACCAUUUGAGACACAUGGCAUUUUAAGCCGGCAAGUUCAGUGGUUGUUUCCUGGAGAGCCACCUCCGCCUUCUCAGCCCGCUGUGUCAAGGCCGUCUUCUCUUCAGCCCAAGCACUUUUUUCCACUUCAAAGCUGGUUUUCAAUUUUUCUAUUUCAGUCACGCUGAAUUGGAACUUUGAGUUCGCCUUCCGGGUCUCAGAUUCUUGCAGCUCCAAACGAGCCUUCAAGUCCGACAACUCUGAUUGAAGUUGAGUAGUGGUGGUGUUUACGUAUACCGGAUCAAAAUCAUAAUUCAGAUUUAGCUAAAAACAUGAAGUCCCAAGCCUUUUGCAAGCAACAACUCUUGGCACUUGGGGGCUAAUGUGUGCCGAAAAAAUUACUCAUGCAACGGCUUAUGUGAAUAAGUCCCAAGCACUUUGCGAGCAAGAGUACUUGGCACUUGGGGGCUAAUGCAUAUUGCUUGUCUCAUUACUAUUUUAUGGUGACCCGGUUGUGCUGCAAACAGCCACAGCUGGCUCAUGAGAAUUACACAAAUAAGUUCUACUUUCUACGAAAGGAUAUAAAGGACCGGCUCAUUCAUCCUGAUUAAACCGUCCCUUGGGGGCUACGGAUUCAGAGUUAGUGUCACGCCCAAGAUGCGACCCUAUCCUAAAGGACCUCGAAGGUCCAACCAAGGAUAGAAGCGCAUCUUGAAGACGCUUUUGCAAGGUGGAUAUCAUUACAUCAUACCAUUACAUAAUAGUUGGGGAUACAUACAAUAGGAAUACAAUGCCACACGAAUACAACAUUAUCAUACAUAAGAGCACCAUCCGACUACGGAUGAAACACAAAUAGAAACUCAAACGACAUCCACCUUGCUAGCCCAGGCUGCCGACCUGGAACCUAUCCCGUGAUCGAAGAAGAAGCAGAUGAAGAACUCCAAACAAGCAUGGCACAAUGUAAUGAAAAGAAGAGCAUCUCAUGAUGAACAUUUUGAUAUAUUGCACGCACAAAACGGAGCUACAUGCAAGAAGUUACAGGCACCACAAUAUGCACACUUAAAAUGGUUUUUCAGGGACUUAGUAGAAAACGACCUCGCAGGGGGUGGACAUGUCCGGGCCAAACCGGACACGUCCGACGUCGGAGGCUGACGAGCGGGCCCCACGUGGUCGUCCUCAAGCUUGGGCCAGGGGCAGUAGGGGACGCCGGAGACGGUUGAUCCGGGCGAGGGGAGCUCGUCCCCGGCCGGAUCCGACGAUGAUGGNNNNNNNNNNNNNNNNNNNNNNNNNNNNNNNNNNNNNNNNNNNNNNNNNNNNNNNNNNNNNNNNNNNNNNNNNNNNNNNNNNNNNNNNNNNNNNNNNNNNNNNNNNNNNNNNNNNNNNNNNNNNNNNNNNNNNNNNNNNNNNNNNNNNNNNNNNNNNNNNNNNNNNNNNNNNNNNNNNNNNNNNNNNNNNNNNNNNNNNNNNNNNNNNNNNNNNNNNNNNNNNNNNNNNNNNNNNNNNNNNNNNNNNNNNNNNNNNNNNNNNNNNNNNNNNNNNNNNNNNNNNNNNNNNNNNNNNNNNNNNNNNNNNNNNNNNNNNNNNNNNNNNNNNNNNNNNNNNNNNNNAGGGCCAGAGGAGGAGAAGGGGUGUGGCGGCGACUGGCCUGGCUGUCGGCGGCGGUGCGGCAAGACUCGCCGGCGGGAGGCGGCGGGGUCAAGGUGACGGGCGGCGGUGCGCUCGGAGGAGAGCGGCUCGGGCGAGCGCUCCGUCACGCGGCGGGACGGAUCGGGCCCCGAUGGGCUUGCCGGGGCCCGAUCUGGGCUCGACGGGCCCGUGGGCUUCAUGGCGGCGCGACGAGACCAGGGCGACGUGGCCAGGCCACAUGGCGGGCGCCGGUUGGCCCUGGUGGCGGCUGGCGGCGGUGCUGCCCACUAGGGUGGCACCACGUGGCGGCGGUGAGGUGGAGGCGCGAGAGGAGGCCAAGUGGCGGCGGCAGAGCGGGCCUGCGCGAAAAAGGAGGUGGGGGCGCGGCUGGAGGUAGGGGUAGGCUAGGAGGGUAGGUUUAGGCCAAAUUUGGCAGGGGAAGGCGUCCAUAUGUAGGGUAAAAGCUAGGGUUUGGGGAAAAUAGGAGGUUUUCGGACCCUCGGAAUUCGAUCUGACGGAUCCGAUCGAAGGGGAGGCUAACUGGGUUAGUGGGCUGGUUUAGUGGGCUGUGAAGAGGGGCCUCGGGCUGAGGGGAGAGAAGAGAGUGAUGCCCGGCGACUGUUCCGGAGACCGAAAUGUCCGGCGAAAAUACCGGCAACGGUGCCACUAUAUUUAACGGUUGGGCUAUCAAACGAGCUCCGAAUGCGAUGAAACUUGACAGGCGCUCCUCUACACUAUAAUAAAACCGCACGCCAAGUUUCAUCCCAUUCCGACAACAUUUUUCGGCCACUCAUAAAUAAUAUUUCAGAGGUGCCACGGGCGCGUGCGAGUGUGGCUGUGCUCAGAACAGACAACAGAGAGAACCGGGGGGAUCCGGAUGGAUGCAAGUUUUGAAAAACAUGCAGAUGAAAUGCAGAUGAUGACAUGGCAAAAAGCAACACGCAAGCAAAUGACAUGGCAACAAUGACGAAUUGCUGGAAGACACCUGGCGCAUCGGAUCCGGGGUGUUACAACUCUCCUCCACUAACAAGAGAUCUCGUCCCGAGAUCUUAGGAACGAGACGGAAGAGAAAGAGGAAGAGGUGAAGUAAGAACGCAAGAGAGAAGAUGAAUAAAGUCGAGAGCACUCGGUUAGGAAAGAGGAAUGAUGAGUAUGACAACAAUCAAAAGCUCAUGGAAUAAGAUAGACUCUGAAACCACUCCGGUUAGAACAAGAUAAGACACGAAUAAGACUGAAAGGAUUUAGGCAGCACUCCAGCUGAAACAUGAAGGAAUGGAACGCGAGCUUGAGAGGAUGGAAUGAUACUUGAUGAAGACAUGACACAAAACCUCCGGAAAGAAUUGAAAGAGUUGAAUGAAAAGAACGGAGAAGAAAAUGACAACUUGUGCCAUGAAUGAAAUUGAAAGCAUCUUUAGAAGGAAGGUUUAAACGGAGUUGUUGAGAAAAUCAACAACAAAAAGAAUAAGCUUGUUGUGGUCUUAUAGGUAACAUCUCAAGAACAUAAGGUGAUAGCCGGCCCCAAACGGAAAUGAUUGGAUAGCUGAGAAGAACGAAGAAAUGCAAAACUCCACUUCAAAAGAAUACAGAGAAUUAAUUUCACUUCGAAAAGCAAAAAGGAAAGAUACUUGAGCUCCUUUGAGAAGAAUCUCGAUGAACACUUGAGGAAUGAAUUAAAUCAUGAAGAACGCCAUGAAGAACUCCGGUAAACAAAAGGACAAUGAGAUAGAAUUGAAGGAUGAAAAGAAUAAGAUGAGCCUUGCGGUGAUUUAGAUGGAGGUUCCGACGAAAUGGCCGAGGAAAUUUGAACUCCGGAAAAGAAAAGAUGAAAACACUUAGAACUAGAAUUUAUUCAUCAAGAACAAACUCCGAUGGAAGGGAUUACAUGACGAUGAUGAAAUUAGAAUAAGAAUUAUUGUAUGCUUUUCCUUCAUCGAAUUAAAUUGAUGACAAGCAAUGGAUUUUGCAUACUACUUAUUCUUCUUGAAAAGGAUUGUGAAGUGACAUAUCGCAAACUUGAGAAGGUCUUCAUGAACCACCGGUAGGGUUGAAAAGAACGAGUGACAUAAAAUGAUAAUCAAGGAAAAAGAAUCUUGAACGAACCACCGUUGGAAUUCAAAAAUGACUGAUGAAAGAGAAUGAAUCACCGGGAAGAAUUAGAAGAACAAAUAUGCUCGAGGGGAUUUAGAUACGAAAGAACAAAGAGAUCAUGAGCUAAUUAAAGAACACUUGAACGAAGCACCGGGAUAAUUGGAUAACGGUAGCUGAAAUGUGAGGACAAAGAAUUCCUCUGGACUGAUGGCCUCUGGUGAAAAGAAAUGGAAAAAACAACUCCUGACAUACUCCGGAUGGUUAAGAAAAGAAUAUCUGACAAAUGGAAUAAUUCGAGAGGAUAACAUGAAGCUAGAACCACGAAACUUUGAGAGAACAGGCAAGAUUUAGAGGAAAACUCUUCUUCGAUCUUCAGAUGACGACGGAAAACACCACCAACGUUACUGAGAUACUCCGGGAGGAUGAAAAAGAGGAAGGGUUGAACCAAAGAUGAAAAGAAUUUGAAAACGAUCUUGGAGAAGGCAUGUGACUGAUGAAAUUCAUUCUUACGUCACACUUGAAAAGAACUAGGAAUGGCUUCGGAAUAAUUAGAAAGUCAGGUAAGAUCCUGGGAAAAGACUCGUGGGUUAGGGCCCACUAAAAUAAAACACCGUUGGAAAGGGUUGUUGAAGAGGUAGAUAAUGCACCGGAAUGAAUGAAAUAUUUGAAUGAGGUGACAACCUCGAAUUAAUUGGAAAGCAGACGAAUCUCCUGAGAUGUCUUGAGCACUCCAAAAAGAUAAACUAGCGAGAGGCGAAUGAGCAAGGGGAAAACAUUUUAACCAAGAGAAAGAAUAUAAUCACUACCAAAAAUUAGAAUUGAAUCCACCGGAGAAGAAAAAGAUGAAGACUGACAAACUAAACCAGAAAUCACCGGUUGAAACAAUUGACGAAAGACUAAAAAUACUCCACACGAAUGAAAUUUGAUGCUCGAAAGAGACUCAGGCUCCAGGAAGAAGAGGGUGGGAGGGCGGCACAACAAAGGCAACUUGGAAGGGGAAAAACCGAUGAAUAACUUCAAGAGGAAACAUCGGUUGAAAGAAUGCAAAUGCUUCGCACAAGUAGGAUGGGUACUCGAUUACGGACUCCGGCUCCGAGAAGAAAAGGGUGGGCGGGUGGGAAAAGAAAACAACUGAGGAUUGAACUUGGCAAAGCAGAAGAGGCUUGAGUCAACUUGACGAGAAAUGCACCGGAUAAAAGAGCUGAGAACCAACGACCGGAAAAACAACUGUGUGAUCCUAAAGAAAGUUUGAAAGGGAAGAGGAGUAAUUCAAAACACCUACAUCAAGAUUCCUCACCAGAGCGACGAAGGGGCUGAGGAGUAAAAAGAAUUCCUACUCUCCGAUAUAACUAAACUCCGAAAACAGUUUUCUUCUAGACUCGACAACGGCCAAACUACACGAUCAAUCAAGGGGGCUCCUAUGGUCGGUCGAGGCUCUGAUACCAACUUGUCACGCCCAAGAUGCGACCCUAUCCUAAAGGAACUCGAAGGUCCCACCAAGGAUAGAAGCGCAUCUUAAAGACACUUUUGCAAGGUGGAUAUCAUUACAUCGUACCAUUACAUAAUAGUUGGGGAUACAUACAAGAGGCAUACAAUUCCACACGAAUACAACAUCAUCAUACAUAAGAGCACCAUCCGACUACGGAUGAAACACAAACAGAAACUCAAACGACAUCCACCCUGCUAGCCCAGGCCGCCGACCUAGAACCUAUCUCGUGAUCGAAGAAGAAGCAGAAGAAGAACUCAAAACAAGCAUGGCACAAUGUAAUGAAAUGAAGAGCAUCUCAUGAUGAACAUUUUGAUAUAUUGCAUGCACAAAACGGAGCUACAUGCAAGAAGCUACAGGCACCACAAUAUGCACACUUAAAAUGGUUUUUCAGGGAGUUAGUAGAAAAUGACCUCGCAGGGGGUGGACAUGUCCGGGCCAAACCGGACACGUCCGGCGUGGGAGGCUGACGAGCGGGCCCCACGUGGUCGUCCUCGAGCUCGGGCCAGGGGCGGUAGGGGAUGCCGGAGACGACAGAUCCGGGCGAGGGGAGGUUGUCCCUGGCCGGAUCCGGCGAUGACGGGGCCGGGCGGCGAAGGGGGGGCGCGAUCGAUCGCAGCGGAGCUCGGCUCCCAUGGAAGCGGGGCGGAGCGCGGUGCCUGGGGUCGGUGAGAAGGCACGGGGCGGCGACCUACGAGGAAGAGACCGGCGGGGUGAGGGAGAGGGACAGAGAAGGAGAAGGGGCGCGGCGACGACUGGCCUGGGGGUCGGCGGCGGCGCGGCAAGACUCACCGGUGGGAGGCAGCGGGGUCGAGGCGACGGGCGGCGGUGCGCUCGAAGGAGAGCGGCUCAGGCGAGCGCUCCGGCGCGCGGCGGGACGGAUCGGGCCCUGAUGGGCUUGCCCGGGCCCGAUCUGGGCUUGGUGGGCCCACGGGCUUCGCGGCGACGCGGGGAGACCAGGGCGACGUGGCCAGGGCACAUGGCGGGCGCCGGUUGGCCCUGGCGGCGGCGCUGCCCACUGGGGUGGCGCCGCGUGGUGGCGGCGAGGUGGAGGCGCGGUAGGAGGCGGAUCGGGCCUGCGUGAAAAAGGAGGUGGGGGCGCGGCUAGAGGUAGGGGGUAGGCUAGGAGGGUAGGUUUAGGCCAAAUUUGGUAGGGGAGGGCGUCCAUAUAUAGGGUAAAAGCUAGGGUUUGGGGAAAAUAAGAGGUUUUCGGACCCUCGGAUUGCGAUCUGACGGAUCCGAUCGAGGGGGAGGCUAACUGGGUUAGUGGGCUGGUUUAGUGGGCUGUGAAGAGGGGCCUCGGGCUGAGAGGAGAGAAGAGAAGUGAGGCCCGGCGACUAUUCCGGAGACCGAAACGCCCGGCGAAAAUACCAGGAAUGGUGCCACUAUAUAUUUAACGGUUGGGCUAUCAAACGAGCUCCGAAUGCGACGAAACUUGAUAGGCGCUUUGUCUACACUAUAAUAAAACCGCACGCCAAGUUGCAUCCCAUUCCGACAACAUUUUUCGGCCACUCAUAAAAUAAUAUUUCGGAGAUGCCAUGGGCGCGUGCGAGUGUGGCUGUGCUUAGAACGGACAACAGAGAGAACCGGGGGGAUUCGGACGGAUGCAAGUUUUGAAAAACAUGCAGAUGAAAUGCAGAUGAUGACAUGGCAAAAAGCAACACGCAAGCAAAUGGCAUGGCAACAAUGACGAAUUGCUGGAAGACACCUGGCGCAUCGGAUCCGGGGCGUUACAGUUAGUCAUUACAGAUCUACUUUAAACGAAAUGCUUUAAGCCGGAUUUUGAAGGAUUCUAUCAAAGGGUAUUAUUUAUGCUCAUGAUUAAUCUAAGGCUACAACAUAUUCAUCAUAAACAGUAGACUUGGGGGCUGACAGGAUGUGCAUAAUUCAAUAAAGGAGGAGUUCAUACCUCAAAUUUCUGGUGCAUUUGCUUCACCAUGUCAACUUCAAGUUCACGGCUGCUGUGUACUUGGCUCAGAUAGCCAGAAUAUACUUCACAUAUGCUCAAUUUGGAGUAGUCAGCAAUGUCAAAUCUUACUUUUCGGCGCUCAAUAUACUCUUCCUUGGCAGAGUGCUUGGCCAAAACAGUAGGCCUUCCCGGCUCUCUAAAGCCGGUGUUGGUGAUCACCACAUCAUCAUCAUGUGUAUCAGUCAUCUUAACUGGACUGGAUGCUUCAGGAUUUAAAGGGUCAUCACUGGCUUGAUCGAUAGGAGGGUCGGAAGUCACUGGUGGAACGUCAAGAACCGGCUCCGAUGAUUGAGGAAUGGAGAUCUCAGGCGCUGGGGUUUGUUGCUCCGGCCUAUUGCCUUUCGGGUCUUUAGCCAGCUCAGUCACCUUUGCCUUCUUGCUAGGCUUCGCCUUUCCACUGCAUGAGUCAUGAGAGGUCAGUAUAAGUAUAAAGGAUCAUAAUGAGCAAAUGAUAAGUAAUUGUUAUUACCCGGGAGCAGUCUUCAAAGCCGGCAGAUGAGAUUCAGAUGAGUCGCCGAAAGAGGAACGAGAUGUUUCCUGAUAAUUUGAGUCGAAAGAAUUAAGUGGUUGGCGGAUGAGACCCACCAGAGGAUAAAAAGAGUUUAAAUCGGGGGUGACCUUGUUUUGACGCUUCCUCGAAGUGUUCGGUAAGCCGAAAGAUAAUUCUUCAUCCCUGCUAGUCCGAGUCUGUCGCCGGCUCUCGUGCUUCUGUUGCUUCAAAAGAAAGUGAGGAUCCAGAUGAGCUAAGGGGUUUGAAAAGCUUACUUUCCGGGUUACUCUUCGAAUUUUCUGUCUUGGUAAGGGGUCGGAGUCAGAGGAAACAAUAGUUACCUCUUCUUCGAUUGCUUGACUGGUCCCCGUGUCAUCCUGAUGAUAAUCAAUGUCUAUAAGAUGGUUGAAAAAGGAGCCAAGGGAAUCAAGGGCUACCCCCGACUCAGAGAUGUCGUCCAGUUCAAGCAUCUCAGAAGCACUGGUUUUCUUCCCUUCUUCUUGGUGGUUCUCUUGGCGGCUUUCUUGGCUUUCCUGGCCCUUUUGGCAGCUUCAUGGUCAUAUUCCUUCUUCCAAAAGUCAUCAUCAGCCUGUGAAAGUUAUCAAAGUUGAGUUAAACAAAGUAUUUAAGGAUGAAGGUAAAGUAAGUAAUUUAAAAAACUUACUUCUGGUGCCGGGUUAGAUGUGCAAAAAGGGCUUAGGCCCACUUUGCUGCAAUCUACCGGCCUUUCAUGUAGAAGGGACUUCGUCAUUUCAUUGAUGGCGUCAUCAGUUAAAUCCUCAGAGUUGUGGCACAGUGGAUCCUUUUUGACACCAGUGUUAGUGCACAUUAAGCCGGAGCGGUGACUCAAUGGAAUGACCCACCAUGAAAUCCAGCAUCGAACCAAGUCAAUGCCAGUUAAGCCGUUUCCCAACAAAGCCUUGACCUUGGCAAUGGUAGGGGCGAGCUUUUUGCGUUCAGCGGCUAUCAACUUGUUAGGGAGAUGAUGUUUUGAGUGAAGACGCAGGGCGCAAAAGCCGGGCAGUCGGUUCUCGUCAGCCGGAGAAGUAUCCUUGCAAUAGAACCUUGUCUGAUUCCAAUCCUUGGGAUGACUCGGUAGGCGGGCAUAAGGGAAGAUAGCAUCUCUCCUUCGCUGAAUCAAGAUUCCACCAAGUUCCAGGCUGGGUCCAUUUGAGUACUCGUUCUGGCGGUUUAAAUAAAAGUAUUCUCUGAACAGCUCCACACUGGGCUCCUCAUGAAGGUACACCUCACAGAAAACUUGGAAAUUGCAUAUGUUUGACACGGAAUUGGGUCUGAUGUCUUGAGAAUGAAGAUUAAAAAAGUGCAGAACAUCCCGGAAGAAUUUAGAGUUGGGCGGUGAGAAGCCCCGGUUCAUGUGAUCAGUAAAGACAAUGACUUCACCAUCCUUUGGCUCAGGUUUCUCCUCUUCUGGCUUGGGGGCGUGAUAAUGCAUGACAGUCUUUUUUGGCAAAUAACCGGUUGUUACAAAGUCCUGGAGUGUUUUCUCAGUGACAAUGGAGGGAACCCAGUUACAGAAAGUGGCUGUCUUCGGGGCCAUUGUGAAGAAAGAGGCUUAAAAGGAAAAAGAACAAGUUUGCCAGUUCAAAUUAAGCCAGAGGGAAAGCACUACAACACAUAUUUAGAAUGGCAACUUAAAAGGGGUCUAAUGGUAUAUGACUAGUUACAGCGGGCUAUGUAAGCCGCCAUGACCAGUUUUGAUGUCUGUCGGAGGUGAAAUCUGUUAAGCAUUGAAUCUAACUACAACCGGUGAUGAAAGCCGCCAUGGCCAGUUUGAUUUAUCAGGAAGGGAAAUUUUUGCUAAGUGCUGGACAAACAGGUUUCACAGAUUACAAUUAUAAUUUUGGAUCAGUGGCAGUUCAGAAAAAGAAAAUAGAUCAAAACCUAAAAACAGUGCAAGGGAGUUCAUAGGUUCUGAGGAGAUCUCUUAUGAAGGAAAAAGGGGUCUACUGGUAUUGAAAGCAAGGGCAAAACUGCUACCGUGUGAGUUAUAUGCUAUCUUCAGAUCAAAGGAUGCUAGGGUUGAAGAUGGAGGGCGAAGAACUACAAAGAACACGAAGAACUACAGAAACCCUAAUGCGGUCUGGAGCAUAGAAGGAGGAAUGCUUACAGAGGCAGGUGAACUGCGGUGGAGCGCCGUCGAUCUCUGAUCCCAUUCAGGUUGGUGCAGCGGCCGAGGACGAGGAGGACGGUGAGCUUCGCGAUGGCGGUGGAGCUCAAGUGGCAGGAGAGUCGCGAGAGGAGGAAGACAAAGGAAAGGGGGGAUAAUGAGAAGAGGGUGUUCGACCCUAUUUAUAAGGAAAAGGUAACAUGUGGGCGCGAAAAACGAGGAGGCCAAAACAUGGUUAUCCAGCUGCUCGGGCGCCUCAAUUCUUGGGACAACUAUUAAAGAUAAAGAUCGGCUGAGAUAUAUUGGAUAUUGUGUAAAUUAAUGACAGGUGACGUCAUGACGGGUUAUCACAAGUCCAGGAGAUGACGUCAUGGCUGGUUAUGAAUUCUCGCACAAAAAAAGAAGGAAGAUGUUUUUCCUAAGAGUUGAAGAUUGACAUGAACAAGUUCAAAUCAACCUGGGGCCUAAUGUUGGGGAUAUAACUAUUAGGUAUGACCCGCCCAGGUGGGUUCGGGUUAUACCUAUGGCGAUUCAAGAUAUGAAGCGCACAAGGAUAUUGAAGAUGGUGGUUCACAGGCAAGGGCCCAAGCCCCAAGGGUGACUAAAGGCCCAUAAAAGUAGACCACCAUAUGUGUAAGACUUGUAUUGUAAGGCAUGUAUAGAUAGUCACCGAGCCAGACACGUUGUCUAUGAGACGGCUGGGACUCCAUGAGCCACUGGGCGUCAACCUGUGUAUAUAAAGGGACGACUCGGCAGCGGUUCAAGGCAAGAAGCAACAGAUCAAAAGCUAGGUCAAGCGGAUUCGCUCCCUGGUAAUCAAGACAUAAGCAGUAGCACCUCAAAUUGGAUUAGGCCUUUACCUUCACCGCAAGGGGCAGAACCAGUAUAAACUCAUGUGUCCUUUGUCCCGUUUAACCCCUUUAAGCUAAGCUAGUUGCGAUGGCUCCACGACUAAGUCCUCACACUAGGACAUCUGUCGUGACUAUUCCACGACAAUAAACGUGCAAGAUGCCAGCGCCUUUACUACUUUUAAACCACAUGGUGGGACCAUAACCCACAGUUCCAUAGAAUCAAAAUCUAACUACCAUGUACACCCCCCGAUUCCAAAGUUAUUCCUCACGCGUGGCUUUGUACAUAAUUCAUGAGCCACCUUCCGAGAGAUCACCAAUUCUGGUAUCAGACACAAUACAUGUUCCCAUUGCUCUGAACCCCUUUCACUCUGUUUCAGGCAACAAACGAUUGCCUAUCCACUGGAGACUUUGUAUUGCACCUUCUUACCCUUCUCUCGAUGACUUUCUUGAAUAUCAACUCGAGAGAUGCCUCUAUUCCUCGUCCAUGGAGAUAGCCCCCAGGUACCUAACAUGUAUUGAGCUGUGCCCUUCCCAAGUUUUUCCCCCUUAUCCUUUCGUAAGUAUGAUGGAGUUCCCGAAGAAAGGAUGUUGGCUUCAUCAUGAUGACCUGAAGCAGAGAAAUGAAGACCUCAACAUAAUGGAUCGACCUCUUCGAGAAGAGAAACUAAGACCGAGAACACUCGCUAGAAUUUUGUAACCAGAACCUUCCUCCUUUACUACGCCUCUUAAAUCUCGGGGCGAGAUAUCUUGUAGUCAAGGAGAUUUGUAACACCCAGUAGUUACGCUACAGUAAACACACACUAAUGGUGCCAUGUCAUCGCAAUUAAUUUUUCAAAACCUCACUAUGAUCUAGCCCGAAUACAAAUUCAAAUUUAAAGUAAAGUCAAAAUAAAAUUUCUUCAAACUGCAAAACUAAAAUGUUCCUUAGGUUAGAAAUAAUGAAAGAAAAAGGGUCCCCCCCACUUUAUAUUAUAAAGCAACGAACCAAGCAUCCAACGCAACAGUACAAAGUACAUAAAGUCAUAGAGUCAUGCUGGGGCACAGCAGGACAAGCCCCAAAGAAAGUAAAAAAGGCAAACUAAUCCGGCUCGGGAGGCGGUGGCGGUGGCGGCAGUGGUGGAGAAAAAGCCGAAGUCGAAGAGUGAAGACCUGCAAUGAUGUUGUCGAUGACAUCCUGGUCGCGCCAUUUGCUAAGCGGUCUCCAGAUCUGUAAGAAGCCACACAUUUUGUAGAUCACAUCAGUCACAUGUCGCGGAAUUACAUGUUUGAUGACUAGUUUAUUAUGGGUACACCAAAGGGACCAGGCAAGGGUACCUAAAGCUACCAAAAUGGGGCCGCGACUAGCGCCCGGGAGCCUAAGAACCUCCCCAAACAAAUCCGGGAGGUUGUCAUGGCACCAAUUGCCACCAACUACUUCCCGGAAGCAACUCCAUAGGAACUGCACCACAGGGCAACAAAAGAUGAUGUGGUUGUAGUCUUCCGGAACCAAACAAAUGGGACAAAGGCCAUCCCCAGGGCCAUUACAUUUCUGGACCUCCGUGCCCAAGGGCAGGCGACCUUGGACCCAUUGCCGGAGAAAUAUGCGGAUUUUCCAGGGGAGUUUGAUCUCCCAGAGCACCGAGAGCUCCACCGGAGCAGGGGUGGGAACAAUCGCUCGGUAUAGGGAUCUAGUCGAGAAUCUACCGCUUGGCUCGAGAUGCCAAGACAACGAGUCGGGUUCCAGGGAGGGGGAGUGGAGGGAAAUACACUCGAGCAAUUCAUCACAUUGCCCGAGCUCCACCACCCCGAAGGUACGGCGGAGGGCAAUAGCGCCCAAGUCUGCCAAGGCCACGGCCACAGAAAGUUGUGAACGGACACAAAUCGGGAAUAAUGCAAAGAAGUGCUCCACGAAGGGGCACGGCCUGGACCAUUUAUCCAGCCAGAAUAAGGUGGCUGAUCCGGAGCCAACUUUAAUGGAGGUCCCAAUGCGCAAGACCGGUAGCAGGCGGAUCACCGAUUGCCAGAACUGGGAUCCUCCUAAUCUACUUACAAAGGCCAGCGGUUGCCUGCGAAGAUACUUCGCACGGAUAAUCAAAAGCCACAGGCCGCCCUCAUCAGUCUGGAUCUGCCAAAGCCAUUUGGACAGAAGGGCAAUAUUCAUCCACUUGGAGGAAAUCACCCCAAGGCCUCCUUGGUCCUUAGGCUUACAGAUCUCAGUCCAUUUAACCAUGUGGUACUUCUGUUUAUUGUACAUUAAGCAAAUUUUUUUGGAGAUGUUUAAAAUGCCAAUGGUAAUUAUAACAACAUACAAACGAGCAAUUAUUUGACCAUUUAAAUUUGUAAAAAUAGUUGAACUCUCCCAAGUGCUUUGAAACUUUUUGAGCCAGCCCAUAAUAUUGCCAAGUAAUUGUGGUUCAAGUUUCACACUGAACAAAAGAUUAAGUGUUGCCAACUUAAAGAUACAAACAACAGUGAAAAGGGAAAAAAGAAAAGAAAUUUAAAAGGUAUAAGAAAAGAGAGCACCCCGGGCUUUUGGCCCAUCUUGCAAAAACACGUCCCGAGGCCAUCCCAACCCCCACUACCUCCUACCUCUCUGUUCACCGAGGCGCCAUGGACGAAGGCCACGCAUCCAUUGCGGGGGAUCUCCAUGUGCCGAGCAUCCCGGCCUCCCCGAAGACUACUAGGGCUCCCCCUCUCACCCACACUGGAACCCUAGCAUGCCCCAAUCCCCUCCCACGUCCUCCCCAUCUCCCUCCGCACGCCAUUUCUUCCACCCCGAGCACCCACCCGAGGAGCCGACGCCGCGCCGCCAUGAAACCCGUGGCCGUCGAGCUCCCCUUGCCUCGUCUUCGUGACCCAGAGAACCUCCACGACGCCCUCAUACUCUCCUUCGACUCUCGCGAACCGGAUCACGCCAUACUGUCGUCCACCAUGUCGUCUUCAUCCUCGAGCACCCGAGGCGGCCAUCCUCGAUUUGCCAACGUCAGCUCAUCCCCGACCACCCCAAGUCAUCCAUAGUCAUCUCUGUGAGGUACCCGCCUUUUUCCCCUGCUUUCCCCCCUCAUAACCAUUGUGUAGCCACCGCCCCGUUCGUCGCCGCCGCCCACGCACGACUAACUGUACGCGCGCGCUUGGGUCGUUGUGCUCGGCCGCCGCGACCUAUCGUCCUGGCCGCGCAACCGCGCCCCCGCCACCCGCUGCCGCGCCCCCUACUGCUACCACCCGGCCGCAUUGCUGCCCGCGACCUGCAUCUGCCCUCAUGUGGCCUCGCACCCCCUGCCGCUGCCUGCAAUCGCCUGCGGCUGCUCCCGCGGCCGCGCCCCGCCUCCGGUUGGUCGAACCCGCUCCCGCCGCAGCCUCGCACGUCUGCUGCCAGCCACGCCUGCGGCCGCCUUCGUCCGCACGCCUCCACUCUCGCCUGUUGCCAGCGCCGUCGUUGGCUGAUACGUCUCCAACGUAUCUACUUUUCGAAACACUUUUGCCCUUGUUUUGGACUCUAACUUGCAUGAUUUGAAUGAAACUAACCCGGACUGACGCUGUUUUCAGCAGAACUGCCAUGAUGUUGUUUUAUGUGUAGAAAAGAAAAGUUCUCGGAAUGUCCUGGAAAUCCACGGAGGCACUUUUUGGAAUUAAUAAGAAUUUUUGGCGAAAUAAUUAACACCAGUGGGCCCACAGGCUGUCCACGAGACAGGGGGCGCGCCCUCCUAUCUCAUGGGCCCCCUGGACCUCCACCGACCUCAACUCCAACUCCAUAUAUUCACGUUCGGGGAGAAAAAAAUCAGAGAGAAAGUUUCAUCACGUUUUACGACACGGAGCCGCCGCCAAACCCUAAUCUCUCUCGGGAGGGCUGAUCUGGAGUACGCUCGGGUCUCCGGAGAGGGGGAUUCAUCACCGUCGUCAUCAUCAACCAUCCUCCAUCACCAAUUUCAUGAUGCUCACCACCGUGCGUGAGUAAUUCCAUUGUAGGCUUGCUGGACGGUGAUGGGUUUGAUGAGAUUUACCAUGUAGUCAAGUUAGUUUUGUUAGGGUUUGAUCCCUAGUAUCCACUAUGUUCUGAGAUUGAUGUUGCUAUGACUUUGCUAUGCUUAAUGCUUGUCACUAAGGCCCGAGUGCCAUGAUUUCAGAUCUGAACCUAUUAUGUUUUCAUGAAUAUAUGUGUGUUCUUGAUCCUAUCUUGCAAGUCUAUAGUCACCUAUUAUGUGUUAUGAUCCGACAACCCCGAAGUGACAAUAAUCGGGAUACUUCUCGGUGAUGACCGUAGUUUGAGGAGUUCAUGUAUUCACUAUGUGCUAAUGCUUUGUUCCGGUCUCUAUUAAAUGGAGGCCUUAAUAUCCCUUAGUUUCCACUAGGACCCCGCUUCCACGGGAGGGUAGGACAAAAGAUGUCAUGCAUGUUCUUUUCCAUAAGCACGUAUGACUGUUUACGGAAUACAUGCCUACAUUACCUUGAUGAAUUGGAGCUAGUUCUAUGUCACCCCAUGUUAUAGCUAUUACAUGAGGAAUCACAUCCAGCAUAAUUAUCCAUCACUGAUCCAUUGCCUACGAGCUUUUCACAUAUUGUUCUUCACUUAUUUACUUUUCCGUCGCUACUGUUACAACUACUACAAGAACCCAAAAACAUUUAUCUUUACUUUUGCUACCGCUACCUUAUUAGCAUACCACUUUUGCUACUAAAUACUUCGCUGCAGAUACUAAGUUAUCCAGGUGUGGUUGAAUUGACAACUCAACUCCUAAUACUCAAGAAUAUUCUUUGGCUCCCCUUGUGUCGAAUCAAUAAAUUUGAGUUGAAUACUUUACCCUCGAAAGCUGUUGCGAUCGCCUAUACUUGUGGGUUAUCAAGACUAAUUUCUGGCUCCGGUGUCGGGGAGCAUAGCUCUAUUCUCUGAGUCACUUGGGAUUUAUAUCUGUUGAUCACUAUGAAGAACUUGAAAGACGCUAAAACCAAGAUUUUGCCCUCAACUACGAGGGGAGGUAAGGAACUGCCAUGUAGCUCUGCACUAGAUUCUUCUUCCGUUAUUAGUAGGCCUGCGACACCUAAACCUGCUACUGCUAUGAAUUCUAAUAUGUCGCAUGUUAUUGAUGAUGCCAAUUCUGCUAUGCAUGAUGAAACUACUUCUGUGCGUGAUACUACUUUGCCAUUAGGUGAAUUUCUUGAUGAACAACUUGCUAGAGUUAGGGGGAAUGAAAUUACUGAAGAACCUAUUAUUGAUGAUAGUGAUGAUGAAGGUUCUCCCAAUGAUUAUGUAUUGCAUGUUGUUCCUAAGGGUUAUGUUAUGAAUGAAGAAGCUACUAGGGAAAUCUUUGCUUGCAAUGAUAGAUAUGAUCUUAAGAAAUUAUUAGCUAAAUGGAAGCAGCAGUCUCUUAAUGCUAGAAUGAAACCUGGCCCUGCUUUUGCUACUUCACCUAUCUGUGUUCCUGAUAAGGAUUAUUAAUUCUUUGUUGAUCCUGAAAUUAUUACUUUAGUUGAAUCUGAUCCUUUUUAUGGCCUUGAAUCUGAAACUGUUGUGGCACAUAUUACCAAGUUGAAUGAUAUAGCCACCCUGUUUACUAAUGAUGAGAAGUGUCGCUAUUAUUAUAUCCUUAAGAUAUUUCCGUUCUCAUUAAAGGGUGAUGCUAAGACUUGGUAUAAUUCUCUUACUCCUGGUUGUAUGCGUAGUCCCCAGGAUAUGAUUUAUUACUUCUCUGCUAAAUAUUUCCCUGCUCACAAGAAACAAGCUGCCUUGCGGGAAAUAUAUAAUUUUGUGCAAAUCAGAGAAGAGAGUCUCCCACAAGCUUGGGGAAGGCUUCUCCGGUUACUUAAUGCUUUGCCUGAUCAUCCUCUUAAGAAAAAUGAAAUACUUGAUAUCUUUUAUAAUGGACUAACCGAUGCUUCCAAGGACUACUUGGAUAGUUGUGCUGGUUGUGUUUUCAGGGAAAGAAAAGUCGACGAAGCUGAAAUACUAUUGAAUAAUAUGUUGACUAAUGAAAAUAAUUGGACUCUUCCCGAGCCAAUUCCUAAAGUAAUUCCUGAACCAAUUGAGCCAACUCCUGAGCCUAUUCCUAAACCCACUCCGAAGAAGGGAGGUGUUUUAUUUCUCAGUCUUGAAGAUAUGCAAGAGGCAAAGAAAUCAAUGAAAGAAAAAAGGUAUUAAAGCUGAAGAUGUUAAGAAUUUACCUCCUAUUGAAGAAAUACAUGGUCUUAAUAUACCGCCUGAAGAACCACAUUGUCUUGAUAACCUGACACAGGUAGUAAAGGUAAAUUCUCUCUAUAGAUAUGAUAAAGUUGAAAUCCCCUCUACUAAAUUUCAUAGCCCGUGCUUAGAUGAAUUUGAUGACUUUAUGGCUAGGCAAGAAAGUUUUAAUGCUUAUGUUGGUAGAGAGUUAAGGAAUAAUGCUUUCGAGAUAGGAUGUGUAAGUGAUAAUCUGGCUAGAGUUAAAGAUGAACUUCACCUCGUUAGCAAAUAUGCUUCUAUGGUUGCUACUCAAGAUGAGCAAGUACUUAAAGCUCAAAAUGAUUUGCUUGAUGAAUUAAAUAAUAAAAAUGACUUUGUUGUUAGAGUGGCUACUAGAACUAGUAGAAUGACUCAGGAACCUUUGUAUCCUGAAGGCCACCCUAAGAGAAUCGAGCAAGAUUCUCAGAGAAAUAAUUUAGAGGCACCUAGUUCUUCUAAAAAGAAGAAAAAGAAAGACGAUAGAACUUUGCAUGCUUCUAGUGAACCUACUGUAGGCACACCUGAGAAUCCCAAUGAUAUUUCUAUUUUUGACGCUGAAACUCAAUCAGGUGAUGAACAUGAACUUAGUGAUAAUGUUAAUGAUAAUGUUCAUGUUGAUGCUCAGCCUAGCGAAGACAAUUGUAAGGGCAUAUUUAUCCCUUAAGUGUUUUGGUGAUUGAUGACAAUGCUUUUGCGGACUAGUCGUGUGCCUUGAGUCUCUCAGAUACUUCAUCACUAGGCACAAGACGAUUCGGUGCCCCUCGGAGACUAUUGAAGUCGGCGUUGUUCUACGUUUCUCUUUGGUGGAGUUGAGUCGUAGGAGAGCCGUACUAUUAAGAGGGGGCCGCGUUGGAAAGGUUUGGGUGGAAUCAACACGUACACUUGUCCAUCCUUUCCCCGCACUUUGGAGCUGCCCUUCAUUAUCUUGGUUGUGCGGAAACUUGGCGACUACUGUUGUACUUGCGGUAGUGCCGUAGGUACAAGCAGUAGUACCGCUGGGUGUCACGGUAGUACCGCCCCUCCGGAGCGGUAGUACCGCGGCAUCCAGGCCUUGUGCCGCUCUGGUGCGGUAGUAGGGGCGGAUGUAAUUUUUUACAUCCGCGCCCACCACGGUAGUACCGCUCGUCCAGCGCGGUAGUACUGCUGGGGCUCACGGUAGUACCGCUCCCUAGGAGUCGUAGUACCGUGGCCCUCCAACCUAGUACCGCAGUGUCACGGUAGUAGGUGCGGAUGUAAUUUUUUACGUCCGCGCCGGCCAUGGUAGUACCGCGCCUCGCGAGCGGUAGUACCGCGUCGGGUUUUUGCACCACCCCAGUUUCAGCGGAAGUAGGCACAGAUGUAAUUUAUUUCAUCCGCGCCCUUCCCAGGCCGUGACUCUCCUGCCUUGCGGUAGUACCGCAAGGGGGAGCGGUAGUACCGCGCCAGCGGUAGUACUGCCCCUUAGUCAGGCUAGUUCCGGCCUGUGCUGCUGCCGCGGUAGUACCGUGGUCGUCCACGGUAGUACCGUGCUGCCUCGCGGUAGUACAGCGCCCCUGGAGCGGUAGUACCGUGUGUCGCGGGCUGAACAUGUUGGAUAACGGUUGGAUUUUUCCACGACUAUAUAACGGGUGUCUUCUACCUCUAGUUGACUACCUCUUCCACCUCUAAGCUCCAUUGUUGCUCCAAGCUCCAUUUUUGCCCGAUCUCUCUCCCUAGCCAAUCAAACUUGUUGAUUUGCUCGGGAUUGGGUGAUAAGGGCCCGAUCUACACUUCCACCACAGGAUAUUUGAUUCCCCCACUUAUCCCUUGCGGAUCUUGUUACUCUUGGGUGUUGAGCACCCUAGACGGUUGAGGUCACCUCGAAGCCAUACUCCAUUGUGGUGAAGCUUCGUGGUGUUGUUGUUGUUGGGAGCCUCCGAUUGUUGUGGAGAUUGCCCCAACCUUGCUUGUAAAGGUUCGGUCGCCGCCUUCAAGGGCACCAAUAGUGGAAUCACAGCAUCUCGCAUCGUGUGAGGGCGUGAGGAGAAUACGGUGGCCCUAGUGGCUUCUUGGGGAGCAUUGUGCCUCCACACCGCUCUAACGGAGACGUACUUCCCCUUAAAAGGAAGGAACUCCGGUAACACAUCCUCGUCUCCACCGGCUCCACUCUUGGUUAUUUCGUGCCUUUACUUUUGCAAGCCUACUUGUCUUACUUCCUUGCUUGCUUGUAUGCUAGUUGUUCUUGCAUCAUAUAGGUUGCUCACCUAGUUGCACAUCUAGACAACCUAUUUUGUUGCAAAGUUUAAUUUGGUAAAGAAAAGCUUAAAAAUUGUUAGUUGCCUAUUCACCCCCCCUCUAGUCAACCAUAUCGAUCCUUUCAAUUGGUAUCAGAGCCUCGUCUCUUUUUAAGGACUUUACCGUCCAAAGAGUAUGGUUGAUGUCAUAGAUGAGCUGGGAGAGCACUCCGGUGCGAAUCCGAUCUCAUCUACGGGAGAUGGGGGUAACUCGAUCUCACGUGAGGAAUUCAAUGUUGCUUUGGAAACAUUGAAAACCUCCAUGCGACCGAGGUCAAGGACAUGUUUAAGGAAUUCAUAGAAGGACUUAAACAAUCUACCUCGCCGAUGAAAGUGGGUGAUCCCACCAACAAGGUGACGGAUGCUCCCUCCGACAAGGGGGAAGCUAACAUUGAUAAGAGUCCUUCUAUUAGUGGUAGAAAUGGUACCGGCAUCUUUGCCCAUGUCGAACCUCCGGUUUAUGGAGGGCCAAUCCCCUCCACUCAUUUGAAUCAUGCCGGUCCUCCUCCUAAAUAUGAGAAGCAUGAAGAUUUUGACCCAAGCAACUUCACCCCUCGAGAAGCCGUGGACAAUCAAUUCAAUGAGAGUGCUCUCUUCAUCAUCCAAGAUGCAAUCCUUCCCGAAGAUCUCCCUCAUCUUCGUCCCCAUGUCAUGGCUAAAGAAGCAUGGAAAUGUGUCGAGGGUUGAGGGAGUCCUGGACUAGGGGGUGUCCGGAUAGCCGGACUAUCGAUAUCCGCCGGACUCCCAGACUACGAAGAUAGAAGAUUGAAGACUCCGGCUCGUGUCCGGAAGGUACUUUACUUGGCGUGGAAGGCAAGCUUGGCAAUACGGAUAUGUAGAUCUCCUACCAUUGUAACCGACUCUGUGUAACCCUAGCCUCUCCGGUGUCUAUAUAAACCGGAGGGCUUUAGUCCGUAGGACACAACAUUACAUCUCAACCAUCAUACCAUAGGCUAGCUUCUAGGGUUUAGCCUCAUUGAUCUCGUGGUAGAUCUACUCUUGUACUACCCAUAUCAUCAAUAUUAAUCAAGCAGGACGUAGGGUAUUACCUCCAUCGAGAGGGCUUGAACCUGGGUAAAAACAUUGUGUCCCUCGUCUCCUGUUACCAUCCGCCUAGACGCACAGUUCGGGACCCCCUACCCGAGAUCCUCCGGUUUUGACACCGACAUUGGUGCUUUCAUUGAGAGUUCCUCUGUGUCGUCGCCAAUAGGCUCGAUGGCAUCUUCAACCUCCAACACUGUCCAGGGUGAGACUUUUCUCCCCGGACAGAUCUUCGUAUUCGGCGGCUUUGAACUGCAGGUCAAUUCUCUUGGCCAUCUGGAGCAGAUCGAAAGCUACGCCCCUGGCCAUCAGGUCAGAUUCGGAAGCUUAGACUUCACGGCCGGUGACUGCGGAGACUUGAUCUUCAACGGACUCGAGCCGCAGCCAAGCGCGCCGCACUGCAACGAUGGGCAUGAUCUAGCUCUGCCACCGGACAGUGCUUUGGUGGCCGCACUUAAAUCCGCCCCGGCCACUUGCCCGGAGCCGAUUGCCCAUGACGAGGGUCGGUGGAUAGACGCCGCCCCGGGGGCUUCAACAUCUACGGCGAUAGAGCCGAAUACCAAUUUUGUCCCUUGCGAGACUCAUGAUCCCGAGGCGCCGGACUCCUCGCCGGACUCCGAGCCUCCCGCGCCCCCGCCAAUUAAGCCAGAUGGGGCGCCGGUUAUGGAAUUCACCGCCGCGGACAUCUUUCAACACUCUCCUUUUGGCGAUAUCUUGAAUUCUCUGAAGCAUCUCUCGCUAUCAGAAGAACCCUGGCCGGACUAUGGGCAGGACGGUUGGAGUUUGGACGACGACGAAAUUCGGAGCCCACCCACCACCCACUUUGUAGCCACUGUCGAGGAUCUAACCGACAUGCUAGACUACGACUCCGAGGACAUCGAUGCUAUGGACGAUGAUGCCGGAGACGAUCAGAACCCAGUGCCCACGGGACACUGGAAGGCCACCUCGUCAUACGACGUCUACAUGGUGGAUACCCCAAAAGAAAAGGAUGGCGAGAAAGUAGCGGAGGAAGAUUCUCUAAAGAAGCAACCCAAACGCCGACGGCGCCGCUCUAAAUCCCGCCACAACAAAAAUGGAGAAUCCGGCACGGGAGAUAAUAACACUCCGGAGAGUGCCGAAGAAAAACCCCUCCAGCAAGAUUCAGCGAAGGAGGAUGUAGAAGCAAGCCCUCACGAAAGGGCGGCAGAAGAAAAGGUUGAGGAUCACAACUAUGUACCUCCCUCCGAGGAUGAAUCAAGCCCCGAUGACGACGAACUCGAAGAGCCCGUCAAACAAGAUCUUUGCAAACGCAGGUUCAUCGCUACAGCAAGAAGCCUGAAGGAGGAAAAGCGGAAGCUCAACACAGCGAAAGACGCGCUCCGGAUAAGAUGGAGCAAAGUGCUCAAAACCGCAGACAAACAAGGCAACAGCCACCAACCAAAGAGCUACCCGAAGCGCAAGAUGCUCCCAGAAUUCGACGAAGAGGCCAUAAAGCCUCCACCGUCAAAUGGCCCAGCCAGGUCCAUCUACGGACCCAAAAGGAAAGCCCCAAUAAGCAAAGGAACACGUCAAGUGUCCGACGAUAGCGGCACGUAAAAGUACAGGGGCGCCGCACACCCACUAUGCUUCACAGACGAAGUGCUGGAACAUGAAUUCCCAGCAGGGUUUAAACCCAUCAACAUAGAAGCCUACGAUGGAACAACAGACCCUGGAGUCUGGAUAGAAGACUAUAUGCUGCAUAUACAUAUGGCCAGAGGAGACGAUCUCCACGCCAUAAAAUAUCUACCCCUCAAGCUCAAAGGGCCAGCUCGUCAUUGGCUCAAAAGCCUCCUAGAAAACACUAUUGGAAGUUGGGAAGAGCUCGAGGAAGCGUUUAGAGCAAAUUUUCAAGGGACUUAUGUCCGGCCUCCGGAUGCAGACGACCUAAGUCACAUAACUCAACAGCCCGGAGAGUCAGCGCGGAAAUUCUGGAACAGGUUCCUUACCAAAAAGAACCAAAUAGUCGACUGUCCGGACGCCGAAGCCUUAGCAGCUUUUAAGCAUAAUGUCCGAGAUGAAUGGCUCGCCAGACACCUCGGUCAAGAGAAACCGAGGACAAUGACCGCAUUAACAAGCCUCAUGACCCGCUUUUGCGCAGGAGAGGACAGCUGGUUGGCAAGAAGCAGCACCAGCGACCCAAGUACAUCCGAGAUAAGAGAUGGAAACGGAAAAUCACGGCGCAGAAGAGAUCAGCGCCAGAACAAAGAGAAAAGCCCAAAGAGCACGGCAGUCAACGCCGGAUUUAAAAGCUCACGGCCGAAUAAUAAAGCUCAACCCAUCAAGGACGACAGCGACGAACUGUCCAACCUACAUAAAAUCCUGGGUCGGAUCUGUCAAAUCCACAGUACCCCCGGAAGGCCUGCAAAUCACACCCACAGGGAUUGUUGGGUUUUCAAACAGUCCGGCCGACUAAACACCGAACGCAAGGGGCUCAACGCGUCAAGCGAAGAAGAUAAACCCCGCCAGCAGGGCACCGGAAAACAAAAGACUUUCCCACAAGGGGUCAAAGCAGUAAACUCACUUCAUGUGAGGACACGGAAAAACAGUGUGGCACUUUCUAAAAAGAGCCUCGCACGGUCCGACCCCGCAAACCAUAGAGAUUGGAUAUCAAAACCAAUCACUUUCGACCACCGGGAUUAUUCCAAAAGUGUUCGAACCGCGGGACGGACUCCCCUGAUAUUGAAUCCGAUAAUAGACGGACUACAAUUCACAAACGUCCUAAUGGACGGAGGCAGUGACUUAAACCUGCUAUAUUCAAACACAAUCCGUCGGAUGGGGAUAGACCCUACCAAAAUUCGACACAGCCGCACUUCCUUCAAAGGAGUUACGCCCGGCCCUUACGCCAAGUGCACAGGCUCGAUAUUACUCGAAGUCGUGUUCGGAUCACCGAACAAUUUCCGACGAGAAAAGUUAAUUUUUCAUAUCGUCCCAUUUAAAAGUGAACAUCAAGCACUAUUAGGACGAAAGGCUUUUGUCCGCUUCAAUGCCAUACCGCAUUACGCGUCUCUCACACUUAAGAUGCCCGGUCCACAUGGCACCAUUUCAGUGCGAGGGUCACUUAAAGACCCCGGAUUCGGAUAGACGAAUCCGGACUCAGCAGGCUAGGGGCUCCCUAGCCACAUACCCUUUUCACAAGGGGCUGCGCGCACAACUAACAUCUGUUUCAUAUAAACCUAGCCUUAAUUAUUUACGCUUAUUCUUUUGCAUUAUUUUUGCACGAACUGUUUUUGAAAUGUUCCUCUCUUUUCUACAGAUGAGCAACGUGCGUACCCGUCCAGGAUAACGGCACAACGGAGACACAGGCGCAGACGUGCAGUAGGGACCCGUCGCAAGGAUUCUUUUCAGAUUAAGACCCUACGUAGACCUUUUUAUCACUGUCUCUUGUUGCUAAAUCGGCCUCGGUUUCUUCCUAUAGCCGAGGCGGAGCCUGACGACUUGGCAUUGGCCGCGUCGGAAGACAAUGCCCGUACCCGGACACAAGGGGCUUAGGGUAUAAUUUUGCCCGUUAUCAUAAAGUCCGAACACCUCAGGGAGUGUUCGGCGUCUCAAGUUGGGCACUAUAUGCAUCAGCUCCGAAUCAUGUCUUUGGUCAAAUGUUGGGUUUGCCCGGCUCCUAUGUUUUGCUGCCUUACGUUCCGUAUCACCCGGCUAACGCGGCACCAGGAGAACUACUGCGAUUGUGCCCCAGUUCGGCUGGGCGAGCACCUCAGUAGAGAAAGCCGAAAACUGACUGUCAUGAUAUAGCGAGAGUCUGGUCAGCCACUUGAUCGACCACGGAAUGUUUAGAAUUCCCCGCUUUGACGAAGGGCUGCUUCCCGGUCAGGCACAUACGCACCCCAAAUCCAGAGAUGUGCGGUGCCAUUAGGGGCUAUAUCGUAGCCCCACCCUCGAGCUCCAUUGGCUAAGUGAAAGAGAUAAAGCAUUAUAGUCCGGAUUGCCUCGUUCGCUACGCUACCACCUCCUCAUAACAGGACCGAGACGUCGGAUUAAAGUGUGAAAAAGCGCUAUUUUGCGAACACCCCAGCACCUUGUGCAAGGGGGCUGAAGCCGAAGACUGCAUCUUUCAGGUUAUACACAAGUAUACUUAAACGGCCGCAAGGAGAAGUAUUACUACUUGGAAGCACAAGUAUAAAAAGCAUUCAUACCAUAAUCAUUCAUAAACAAGUUAAUGCGUUCAAUUGAAUGUUCAAUUUUUCGAGCACUGCGACUCUAUUAUACGAGCGGCGCGCAUAACUUCACCAAAAUAAUGUUCGGCAGGAAGCCGGUUCCCAUCUGAACCCUGGGCAGCAACAGCGGUGGCAUCCAUCUCCGGACACUGCGCCUUUACAAGGGCCAGAGCCAUCCGCGCGCCCUCGAUGCAGGCCGACCGCUUCAUCUCCUUGAUAUGCGGCACCGCCCCAAGGAACUACUGCAGUAGGCCAAAAUAGCUCGUCGCCUUGGGCCUCUCUGGCCACACAUGGGCCACGAUGUCAGUCAUAGCCAGCCCGGACAGUCUAUUCAGUUCGGCCCAUUCGGCCAACCUGUCCGACAGCGGAAGAGGGCGAUCCGGACUGUGGAAUUGAGUCCAAUAUAACUCUUCCACCUCGUGAUCCCCCUGGCUCCGGAAGUGCUUAACGGCGUCAGCCGCACUAGCAGCCAAGUCCAUGUAAGGAUCCUCCGAACUCCACUGCUUUUCAAAUUGGGCAUACAUGGCAUCCAUAAACCGGCGACGCAUAAGAAACGGCCUGCCAGCCGUGAUUUCUCCGGCUUGGCGCAGCUCCUCCUUCAUUGCCCGCAUUGCAGAGCGGGCAUCCUUGGUCUCAGCGGUGGCCUUCUUCAUGUCUUCCCGCUUCGAUAGGCGCUCCUUUUCAAGAGCCUCGCUACGGUCGGUAGCAUCCUUUAAUUUCUUGGCCAAUCCAGCCACCUCCGCCCUGCUUAGGCAGUGCGCAGCCUUUUCGGCCUUCAACUCCUCGGCCGCCCACGCGGCAGCCGCAUCACUCCUUCGGGCUUGCUCCUUGGUUUGUGCAAGAUCGGCCCGAAGUCUCUCCACAGCAGCAGCACUGUCUGUAUAAACAGCAUAUAACUUAUCAGAGGAGGGCUUUAACCCACCCAAUAAAGCAGUUGUGGAGAAUUUAUUUACCUUGCGACUCGUCAAGUCGCUGAUUGACAAGUGCUAUGUCAACAUCUGCCAUGUCCAGUUGCCGACUUAGUUCGGCAAACUGAUCAGUCCGGCUGGCCCCCGGACUAUCCGCCACCUGUAUCAGAACGGCGAUAUUUAUUACCUGAGAUAUUUAGAUUUUCGAUCCUCGGCACGCUGUCGUCUUCGACAACCUACCGAGUCUCAGGGGCUACUAUCUAUACAGGGUGCAUUUUUUAUAUGCACAACUGUUAAAAAACAAAGGGGUACGCUAUUUUCGCAUACCUCAAAUCCCGCCAGCAAGCUCAUGGCAGCGUCACGCAACCCGCUUUCAGCGGACGAAAUCCUUCCAAUCACCAUACGCAUUAACGCACAGUGAUCUUCUGAAAUGGACGCCCUCUCAAGCAAACUCUUCAGUCCUCCCGGCCGGGCUCUGGUGGGUGUUGAACUCUUCGACCCCUCCGGACUCGGGGACGCCCUCCGUGACGACACUUCGGGCUCGCCUGCCUCAUUUGGCGGCGCGUCGGAUGGAGGCGUAUCGCUCUCCAUCAUCUCCGGAAGAAGAUCCCCCGAGGACGAACUCAUCUGAGACGGCUGCAGAUCCGAACUGCGAUAUAAAUAUUUCGGUUACCUACAGAAGCAUAAACGAAGGUACCUUUUCAUUAAACUUCCUCUUUCAUACUCACGGCUCGUUGGAGGGCUGGUCCUUGGGCGAUGAUUGCGCGCCCGGAUUCUCUCCAGACGCCGGACCCCCCGGUGGGAAUUUCUUCCCACGCUUAGGGGCUGGGGCCUCCGGAUCUUCGGAGGCGGUCCUCUUCUCCCCCUGAAGGGAGAGAUCCUUGGUUCCCUCCUCUUCAGUCGCCCCUUUGGACGAAGUGUUAGCUCCUUUAUCUCCCCCGUCGCCCCCCUCUGUGGGCGCAACCUCCAACAUUCUGACCAGCACGGGCUCCAGUGCGGUCUCUGGGAGGGGGGCCGGACACCUUAUCAGCUUUGAUCGCGCCACCCAUUCCUGUAAAAGAACAAAGGGUAAGGAGACGAUCUCUUGAAAGGCAUACAAAACAGGAUGUCCGGGCUUUGAGCUAUUUACCUGAGUAUCCGGACGAUCGCGGCUUAGACCCGCAUCCUCGGCCGAAUCCGGACACGCCACUUGCGGUCCGAAGAACAGCUCGUACAUCUCCAAGGGUGUUGCACCCAUGAAAUGCUGGAGGAUACGAGGUCCCUCCGGAUUGAACUCCCAUAACCGGAGAGGACGACGUUUGCAGGGUAGGAGGUGCCUAGUUAGCAUGACCUGCAUCACCUUGACCAGAUUGAUCUCCCUUGCUCGGAGGUCCCGAAUCCGGCCCUGCAGUGCGGGCACGUCCUUGGACGGCCCCCAGUUGAGCCUUUGGUUGACCCACGACAUCAGUUGCCGUGGAGGUCCCGGGCGGAAGGAGGGCGGCGACUUCUGCUUGCUGCCCCUUGGAGUGGUGAUGUAGAACCACUCCUGCUGCCACAAUCCCUGUUCCUCUUGGAAGGAACCUUCGAGCCACGGGGCAUCGACCUUCUUGCUUAUGGUCGCCCCGCCGCACUCCGCUUGACGCCCCCCCAUCAUUUUUGGCUCCACUUUGAAUGUUUUCAGCCACAGGCCGAAGUGGGGGAUGACGCGGAGGAAGGCUUCGCAGACAAUGAUGAAUGCGGAGAUAUGGAGGAUAGACUCCGGAGCCAAGUCGUGGAAGUCCAGCCCGUAGUAGAACAGGAGCCCCCUCACGAAGGGAUCCGUCGGGAAGCCUAACCCCCGACGGAGGUGAGAUGCGAAAACGACGUAUUCGCCGGGCUCGGGGGCUGGCACGGCCUGCCCUGGGGCAGGCAACCUGUGCGAAACUUCAUAGGCCAGGUACUUGGCCUCACGCAACUUCAAUAUGUCCUCCUCCAUGACGGAGGAGGGCAUCCACCAGCCCUGGAGGUCGAAACCAGACAUUGCUACAGAUCCGAAGCGCUCGAGCCUGAAGCUCUUGGUGUUGGAACUAGGAGCAGAGGAAAGAUUCGAUGCGAGGUUAAAAGACAAGGACAGGCCUUGGUCCUCUUAUAAAGGGGAAAUAAUACCAAGGGCCGUCUCCGUGACCGUUCGGGAUUCCCCUUCGAUAGAGGAGGCGUGGUGACGGGAACGGUUGGGUUACCCACGCACGUAUUGAUGAGGAUCCCGGAAUAAAAGGGAACACGAUCUCUGCUUCAACAGGACGUGCCAAGGAUGCCGCUUCGCUAAACGUGCUGAGGCGGAACCAUAAAAACAAUUCAAACGAGGGCUUGGCCGCGGUGUGACAUCACGCUGCGUAAUACGUCAGCAGAUUGGAUUAAGUGUGUGUUUUAUUCUCUCUACGUUGGAAUGUGGAAAUUAUUUUGCAGAGCCGGACACUAUCCUGGUGUUCAUUAUCUUCUCCGGACUAUUCAAGGGAGGAACCCGCCUUGCAAUGCCGAACAUUAUGCACGCCGGACUUAUCGUCAUUGAAGACUGGUUCAGGGGCUACUGAGGGAGUCCUGGACUAGGGGGUGUCCGGAUAGCCGGACUAUCGAUAUCCGCCGGACUCCCAGACUACGAAGAUAGAAGAUUGAAGACUCCGGCUCGUGUCCGGAAGGUACUUUACUUGGCGUGGAAGGCAAGCUUGGCAAUAUGGAUAUGUAGAUCUCCUACCAUUGUAACCGACUCUGUGUAACCCUAGCCUCUCCGGUGUCUAUAUAAACCGGAGAGCUUUAGUCCGCAGGACACAACAUUACAUCUCAACCAUCAUACCAUAGGCUAGCUUCUAGGGUUUAGCCUCAUUGAUCUCGUGGUAGAUCUACUCUUGUACUACCCAUAUCAUCAAUAUUAAUCAAGCAGGACGUAGGGUAUUACCUCCAUCGAGAGGGCCUGAACCUGGGUAAAAACAUUGUGUCCCUCGUCUCCUGUUACCAUCCGCCUAGACGCACAGUUCGGGACCCCCUACCCGAGAUCCGCCGGUUUUGACACCG
rnacentral:lncRNA from 1 species